rnacentral:lncRNA from 1 species
AUCUGUCCUUGUAUCAUGAUGGUGAGCGAUGGGCACAACCUUAUGUAAUCUAUUUUCUCUUUGUUAGAUACUGUCACCUGGAAUUUUCUAUUAGGAACCACAAGUAGCUCAUAUUUAUUGACUAUGGAUUGAUCGAUAAAGUUGUGUGUGCUUCCACCGUCUAUCAAUACAAUGACCUCUUUGCUCCUCAAUCUUCUCAUCACCUGAAGGGUUUGAGGAUGAGCUGUACCUGCAAUUGUAUGGAAGGAAAUUUCAGGAAUAGCUUUUUGGUCCUCUGCCACUUGUAGUACCUCAGAUUGUUCCUCUAAAUCUUGAUCAUUUGUAUCACUAAUCAUGAAUAAUUGGGGUCGUUAGCAACGAUGACCCAGAAUGAACUUCUCAUCACAAUAGUAACAUAAGUCUUUUCUCGUCUCUCUCGUGCUUCCUGGUUGGAAAUCCGUCUGACAUUUGAUGUUGGGUUCAUGUUUUGCCGCAAAUUUGGUGGAGGUCCAAGUACCCCUACAGUAAUACUCGCGCUUGUUUUUAUUGUGGCUGUAGUUGGUUGGGUUCGGUAAGGGCGUGUCACCUUUUUUUGGAGUUGGUUUCGCUCUUCAAUCAACCUUGCAACACCGAUAGUUUCAGAUAACAUGGUUGGAUGUUUAAUCUUGACAUCUAGGCGGAUGUCAUCUCUUAGACCUGCAAUAAAACAGCCGAUGAGAAAGGUUUCUGGAAGGCCAUCAACUUGAUGAGAGAGUUUUUCAAAUUCUUCUUGAUAGGCUGCGAUGGUGAUAGAUUGUCGGAGUCUUGAAAGAGCUUCGUAGAGGUCUUCAAAAUCAGUUAGACUAAAACGUCGGAGAAUGCUUUGUUUAAUUCCUCCCAUGUUAAUGGUCCCUAGAAUUUAGUCAUCCAUCGAUGCAAUUGUAAGGCUAUUCCUUCUAGAUGGAAGGAGGCAAGCGGCACUUGUUGGACAGGUGAAACAUCGUUGUAUUCAAAGUACUGCUCGGAUUUGUAAAUCCACCCCAUUGGAUCUUCCCCGCUGAACUUUGGAAAUUUCAGUUUAAGUGAGGAUUAAUGGGUUCAUGAGUUGUGACCUGAUGAUUCAGCAGGAGCAAACGGGUUCAACUCUAGAGGAUUCAUUCUUGGACUCCUGGAGACAUGCAAGGCUUGUAACUCAGUCAGUACAGUUUGUAGAGUGACAUGCACCUGAUCGAAGUUAGAUUCGUGUCUAGCCAAAGCUUCAUUGACUUCGCCGCGGAACUCAACGUUAGAUUUUCCUCUGGUGUCCAUGGUGUAACCAGGCUCUGAUACCAAUUGAUGAGUAAUUUACUAUCAACAAUAAAAGAAUUAGGGAAGAAGAGAAGAAGAGGCAAAAGUAGAAAGGAUGUUAUUUAUUAUUUUAUGCAUAAUCCAGAACAACCUAUUGGCUAUAUUUUAUAGCCCCGUAAACUGGGAAAGGUAAACAACAUGCUUAAAGAUAGGAAAGCACUAACAAUAUGAAACUAACAAUAAGGAAAUAUCCUUCCACUACACUAGUUUCUAGCAAUCAUCAGCAACCAACAAAGACCCAUUCCUCAUUCACCCCCACGUACGUGUUCCACUACAUGCACAUACCCAUAUACCAUUCCCCCCCUCUCUCUCCUAUAUAUAUAUAUAUAACCUUACCUCAAUUGGGUUGAUAGUUCUUAUCAUCUUCCAAUAGUUGUCAAGGUUCAUAAUUUUUAGCAAUUAUUAGGAGUAGACAAUGAACACAAAAGUAACAUUUAGCUAAAAUUCUAGCUCAAACCAUAUUUGAGACUUGAGACUUUUUAGAUUUUCUUUGACCGAAAAUGCUUUCUCUUUAUACUCUACAUUACAACCUAUAUAUAUAUAAAAUUGAAUUGUGUUGGGUUCGAAUUAUUUUAGGUUUGAGUUUAUUUUGAGUCAUGAUUAUAUUCGGUUUAGAAUAACUACACACUUGACCUAACCUAAACCUAUUGAAUUCGAUUUUGCAAAAGAAAGAUUUUAAUUUUAAAUAUUAUUAAUUAACAUUUGCGCACUUUUGUAUCAUUAACAAGUACCUUAUAUAACUAUGAUAAUUAACACAACAUUAUAUUAGCAAUGUGUUAAAAGUAAAGUCAAAAUUUAAUGGAAUAACUUAUUUUCUAAUAUUUUUUUAAAAUCACUUCUUGGUUUGAAGAAAAUAACAACUUGAUUAUCACCUAAGCAAGGGGUAAACUAACCUUUUAAAGAUACCAACUUUUCUUGUACAGAGCAAACAUUUGUGUAUAUUUUGUCAUCUAUAUAUAAAAUUAUCUCGUAAUAAGAGUUAAAUGAGAGUUUGACACAUAACUUUUCUCAUUUUAUAUAAUCUGAAAUAAUAUUAUCAAGGCAUAAAGUAGCAAUACCAUCUUUUUUCUUUGUUAGAGUAAAACCACCUAUUUUUAGACAAAAUCACCUAAACAUGCUGAGCAAAAUGAACAGAAAAAACUAGAUAGAUCGCUCAUGCUUCACGGAGGAUUGGACAAUUGUUUUUACAACGCAAAAAAAAUUGCUUAAGUGUUUAAUAUUAUAUUUUAAAGAAAAAAAACCCAUGACUCGAUAUCAUAGAAAAAGAACUAAAAAUAAUAAUAAUCGUCAAUCCUUAGGAAUCAAAACGUAGAAUGAUGAAAUCACAAAAAAAUAUAUUAAAAAAUAUUAAAAAACAAAGCACCAGCAAAACCAAGUGAGGUUGUCAAAAACCUGCGAGAAUGAUCUUGCUGACAUGAUAACCAAAUACAAGGCAAAACAUAAAAAAAUAAGUUUAAUUUAAAAAAAAUGAAUUUUGAAGGACAAAAUAAAAAAGGAUAAAAAAAGCAACUUCAGAAGAAACCUAAGCCAUCCAGAUAAACAAAGAUCAUUUUUUAAAACAAACAACUUCAAAAGAUGUAAUCGAGAAAGGAAAUGAUAUUAACCCGUGUAAACUUUUUAAACCCAUGACCCAAGACACUAACUAAACUGGAAGCAUCACAUCUAGAAAAGCAACUAUUUUAAAACAUGGCUUGACCCAACAGUUCAACCCAUGACCUGGCCAAGCUUCAAAAGAAAUUGAGGGAGAAUUGAUCAAGUGUAAGACUAUCAAAAACCUCGAUUGACCUAUGAUUUGGUUAGUCGAGGAAAACAGGGUCAAAACCCGUUGAUUAUUUUCCUUUUUUUUUUCUUUUCAAAAUAGUAUCAUUUUGAAUUUUUUUUAUAAAACAAAAGGAUUUGGUUGGGUUAGGUUAACUCGAGUCAACCCACUCGACCCGUGACCUGAUCAUUGUUCAAGAUUGACUCCUGGGUAGGGCUUAUAAACAAUGAAAAAACCCUAGAAGACCAAAUCUCAAUAAUUAAAAUGUUGAAUGAUAAAAUUAAAAAAAAAACUGAAGGAUAAAGAAAUAGCAAUUAAAAGAAUAAGGACCUCAUUUGCAAAAUAAAAAUAAAAAUUGAGAGGACAAAUAAAAAUCUUAAAUUGAAGGCUAAAAUUGAAAAAAAUUCAAAGUAACAAAUGAAUCCAAUUUUUUUUUUAAAAAAUAAAGAAUACCAAUUUCCAAUGAACUCAAUAGUGAUAGAUGAAUUUUUUUAAAAAAUAAUGAAAAAUGACUAAAGCCAACUCGAUCCAACCUUUAUAAUUUUGUAAUAUGGAUCAUGAGACUGUAUCACAAUAUAAAAGUUAAACCUGAAAAAAUAACAAUGUAAAACUCAUAACCAACCAAAAUAAUUAGGGAUAAACUUGAAAAAACAAAUAAAAAAAAAGAAGAGAUUUAAAAAAUGUAGAUUUAAAAAGAACAAUUUUAAAAAUGUAGAAUUAGAAAGAAAGAGAACUAAAUUUGACACAAAAAUAAAAUAAAACCAAAUCAUAAGGGAUGAAAUUAAAAAAAAAAUCAAUCUAGAAAAAGAUAAGAACAACUAAAAACAACAAUAAAAAGAAUGGGGACCAUAUUUGAUAUAAAAAUAAAAUGUCAAUGGAUAAAAUUCAAAGACAAAUCAAUUAAAUAAAUGAUUCAAGACCAAAUACAUCACAAUUAAAAAAACAAUGACCAAAUCUAAUAUAGAAACCAAGUGUAAAGGAAUGAAAUUAAAAAAAAACUUGAUAAAUGAUUCAAGACCAUAUACACUACAAUUAAAAAAAUAAGGACCAAAUCUGAUACAAAAAUCAAUCGUGAAGGGAUGAAAUUAAAAAAAAAAAUAAUUCAACAAACAAUUGAAGGCCAAAUACAUUACAAUAAAAAGAAUGAGGAUCUAAUUUAACUUAAUAGACAAAUAGCCAGAUUUUCUUGUUUUUUUUUUUUUUUUGUAAUGGGUAGUAUGGUUUUCCAGGAGGAGAAAGGGGAAAGAGGAAGGGAGGGAAAAACCUUCGGCUAGAGCUCCUCCGCGGGCCGCCUCGGCAAACGUGCCCCACCAUUGUGCUUGGGAUGGUGAGACGCAUCGAACGCCACCCCGGAAAUCACCGUUUGGUUCUGUUUUGGCGUCGCACGUGCGACCCGAAAAGGCGAAGGUGGCAUCCAUUUGCUAGCAUGUGCUUAGCAAACGCCAACCAUUUUUUAAUAUAAACAAUAAUUUCUAUACAUACAAAUACCCAAUUACCCCUGACCCCAUCUGAUAUUUACAACAAAACCAUAUGGAAACGACAAAAACACCCCUACAUGCAACAUUUUUUUUUUCAAAACCCAAGGGUAAUUCUGUAUUUGCACUAUUUUAAUAAAAAAGAAAAGAUGGAGAAACCCCUCAACAUAUGUAUAUUUUUUCCCCUCUCAAAGGCAUAGUUGUAACUCCACUGAUUUGUUUUUUAAAAGACAAAAGAAAACCCCCAACCCGAAGGUUAAAAUUUUGUGCUGUGAAGGGCAAAUCAAAAUUUAUAUUGUAGCAAAAAAAAUCCGAAUGGAUCAUUUUAUCCCUAAUCAUUCUUUUAAUGCCAAAUGUAUCUCAUAAAAAAGACAAUUCUACCCUUAACUGCAUGCUUAACAAGUUUUUUGAUAAGAACAAUUUUAUCUUUACACUGUUUUAAUUUACAGUAAUCUAUGUCUUGAUGAAUAGUGAAAGACUGAGGGCUUUUAAUUUUUUUUUUUGUAAUAAUACUAGAGAAUAUAAACCUUAAUGAAAAGCAGAAGAAGAAACAAAAUUUUGAAUUUUUUAUUUAUAUUCAAAACCUAUGUUUUGCUUUAUUACAUUAAGGGCUUUCUAAACUUAGAGUUUAAUAAAAUGGUUGACCGAUAAGCUGCCCACAAAUUUGGGGUGACCUAACCAAAAUCUUUCAGAGUUCGGGUCGUAUUGGGUUUUGAGUUGAAGAUGCUUGAGCAUGACCUUAUUUUUACAUUUGUGAUUUGCCAGUUCUACAGAACCAAAAUGAUUACAUUAGAAAAAACCAGGGACCGAAUUAUAAUUGGCUCAACGAUAGCAGAAAAAUUGCCCAGACCCCGACAGAUCGUUUAGCUUUGGUUGGAGUUGCGUGUAUUAUUUAAAUCAGAGAAUAUCAUGGGACGAAGGAGAGGGAAUACUUUAAUUUAUAGUUUAUCUCUCUCUCUCUCUCUCUCUUUCGGGCUCGGGAUAAUUGUAAAAGCAAAACGAUCUUGGAAGAAGACCUAAUGGUGAAUUUAAAUUAGAAUAGAUUUAAAAACAAGAAAAAAGAAAAAGGAAAGCAUGGGAAACAAAAUCGCGCGGACGACGCAGGCAUCGGCAUCAGAGUACUACCUGCACGACUUGCCGUCAUCGUAUAAUUUGGUACUGAAGGAGGUGCUAGGCCGAGGCAGGUUCUUCAAGUCUAUACUGUGCAAGCACGAUGAGGGAUUAGUUCUGGUCAAGGUUUAUUUCAAGCGUGGUGAUAACAUUGAUCUCACCGACUACCACCGCCGUCUCAUCAACAUCAAGGAAACCUUCCGUGCUCUUGACCAUCAUCACGUCUGGCCCUUCCAGGUCUGCAAUUUUGACUACUAAAUCGAUACGAUGAUUUGGGUUUUGAUGCUGAUGUUGUUGAUGUUGCAGUUUUUUCAAGAAACAGAUAAGGCAGCCUAUCUUUUGAGGCAGUACUUCUUCAAUAAUCUUCAUGAUCGAUUGAGUACUCGUCCUUUCCUCAGUCUCGUUGAAAAGAAGUGGUUGGCAUUUCAGGUCUUCCUUUCUUUCCUUCACUUUCUUAACAAUAAAAUAAUUAAUUAAAAUACAGCUGUUCUGGACUCUUAUUUUUAUACAUAUUCCAUUGCAGUUGCUUCUUGCGGUGAAACAGUGUCAUGACAAGGGCAUUUGUCAUGGUGAGUGCAGUUAGCUUUUAGUUUCUAAUGAGGUUCGCAUCUUCUGAUACUCUUUGUCAAUGGCAGGUGAUAUCAAAUGCGAGAAUGUGCUGGUUACUUCCUGGAAUUGGCUUUAUCUUGCUGACUUCGCCUCAUUUAAACCAACUUACAUCCCUUAUGAUGAUCCUUCGGAUUUCUCUUUCUUCUUUGACACGGGAGGAAGAAGGCUCUGUUAUCUUGCACCCGAGGUUUUGUUUUGUCCCAACAGAUCUUUGAUCCUAAUGCUCACCAUCUGCAUUGGUCUCACUUUUGUUUUCCCCUCUAUUCUGUAUACUAACUGCUUGUUUAUUGAUCAUCAAGGCACUCAAUAAUCAUAUGGUUCUAAACUGUUUCCAGUUUUCCUUUAUUGUUCAGUGCUGUUAUCAUGCAAUAUAUUAUACUUACUCAUCCUCAAAUUUCAGAGAUUUUAUGAGCAUGGAGGCGAGGUGCAAGUUGCUCAAGAUGCACCCCUGUUGCCGUCCAUGGACAUAUUUGCUGUAGGGUGAGCUUGCUAAGUAUAUUAGUAUCUCUAUCUUCCAUGAUGCUUUCACUUCACAAUUCUUGCCAAGCUUCAUUUUCAUAUCCCCACCGUGUGCAAACUUUUUUCUGUAAUAGUUAAUGCACAAUGAAAUUGUUAGUUAUGCAGGGUAAUCUACGUGAUUUUGUGCUGCGGUUUCUUUUCAUUGUUUAGCAUAAUCCAAAUGCAAAAUCGCCCUCCCUCCUUUUCUUGACAGCACCAACUGUGUCGCUGGUAAUCCUCCCUUCAUAAGAAUGUUGGGAGGUUUUGAGGUUGGGGGAAGAGGGUUGCGACUGCCCUAUCGCUAACAGCCUCUGGACAUAAGAGAAAAAAAGAAAAGAAACAAGGUUUCUUUUCUCUUUUGUUUUGUUUUUGGGAUUGAUAUACAGGUCAAAUUUCUUGUGACCUGAUAUUUUUAACAAUGCAGAAUCAAGUAAAGUGACUUCUGGUUGGGGUAUCACUUUUGGGUUGCAUGGAUCUAAUAUAAAACUGAUCAAAUUUUGUAGUUGAAGUACUGGUUUUAUAUGUUCUACUUUGUGUUGCAACAAUUAUCUGAUUCAUCAUGUUUCUGUUUAGGUGCGUAAUUGCGGAACUUUUUCUUGAGGGUCAGCAACUGUUUGAACUCUCCCAGCUUCUUGCUUAUCGUAGAGGACAAUACGAUCCUAGCCAAUAUCUUGAAAAGGUCCUUCUCUCUCUGUUUCUCUUCAUCUCCCCCUCGCUUUGUCUAGUUCAUUACAGUAGUAUCAAUAUAUUUGUGCGUAAAUCAGUUUUUACCCACCAAGAGAAGAAUAAGAGAGGCGGGGUUAUCAUUUGUGAAGCAUGUUUAUUUGGGUUUUUUACGCUAUUUUGAAUACUUAGUCUUCCCAUGACAUUUCACUCUUUGUCUCUCUUAUCCUUAAAACUUCAUUGUUAACCUCCCAUUUCAUUCUGCUUUUCUUAAGCCAAAGGCUGUAGUGUUUUAGAACUUUAUUAAAUCACUAUGGUGAAACUUGGAUAAAUCUCGAUCAUCCUUAACUAUCGCUCUUAUGGUGGAUAAAUCUAUGCUAUGGAUGUGCAGAUCCCAGAUUCUGGAAUCCGCAAGAUGAUACUUCAUAUGAUCCAGUUGGAGCCUGAGGCACGUCUUUCUGCUGAAAGCUACCUACAAGAUUAUGCAGCUGUUGUGUUUCCAAGCUACUUCUCACCCUUUCUGCAUAAUUUUUACUGCUGCUGGAAUCCACUUCAUUCUGACAUGAGGGUAGGAUAUUUUGAUAUAGCACAUAAAACUUGUCCUUGUUGCAACUCAUAUAUAUACACAUUGAGGCUCUUUUAUCUGUACUGUAGGUUGCAAUAUGCCAGAGUGUUUUCCAUGAGAUACUUAAGCAAAUGAUGGGAAGCAGGACAAGUGAGGUGGCUGGCACCAGACGAGACGUGUUUGCAAAUAGUUUGAAUGGAAAACUAUCAGAAGAGAUGGUUGAAAAACAAAACUUGGACUCAACAAGUCAUUGGAGAAACAGAGAGAGAAUAGAAAAUGGUUUAACUUGUCAACAGUACAAUCUUCUUGGAGAUAUCAAUAGCCUGCUCGGGGACGUAAAACAAAGCAGUGGGUAUUAUAGUGCGAAAUUGAUGCCUGAGAGUGCUCCUGGUUCUGAAUUUUGCCAGGAUCUAAAGCAAUGCAGCACCAAAUCUCCUGAUGAGCUUCUUCAAACUAUCUCAAAUGCAUUUAGGAGAAAUGAUCAUCCAUUUCUGAAAAAAAUUACAGUGGAUGAUUUGAGUUCAUUGAUGUCCGAGUAUGACAGUCAAUCAGAUACCUUUGGUAUGCCUUUUUUACCGUUACCUGAAGAUAGCAUGAAAUGUGAAGGUAUGGUUCUGAUUGCCUCUCUGCUAUGCUCUUGCAUACGUAAUGUCAAGUUGCCACAUUUGAGGAGAGGAGCUAUACUUUUAUUGAAGUCUUGUUCAUUAUAUAUUGAUGAUGAAGAUCGCUUACAGCGUGUGCUGCCAUAUGUUAUUGCAAUGCUUUCGGAUCCAGCAGCAAUAGUGCGUUCUGCUGCCUUGGAAACCUUGUGUGACAUUCUGCCUUUAGUUCGUGAUUUUCCUCCUAGUGAUGCAAAGAUUUUCCCUGAGUAUAUUCUUCCAAUGCUUUCCAUGCUUCCUGAUGAUCCAGAGGAAAGUGUGAGAAUAUGUUACGCCAGCAAUAUAGCGAAGCUGGCUUUAACUGCUUAUGGGUUCUUGAUUCAUUCAAUAGGCUUGAGCAAGGCAGGUGUUCUUGAUGAAAUGAGCUCACCACAGAAUUCGAUGGCAUCAUUUAUUGAAAGACCUGGGCAGCUGCAGAGAGUAAAUAAUGAUGCGCAGUUGUCACAGCUGAGGAAAUCAAUUGCUGAGGUUGUUCAGGAACUUGUCAUGGGUCCAAAACAAACUCCAAAUAUCAGGAGAGCACUCCUUCAGGACAUUGGCAAUCUGUGCUGCUUCUUUGGCCACAGACAAAGCAAUGACUUUCUGUUACCAAUCCUUCCUGCAUUUCUCAAUGAUCGAGAUGAGCAACUAAGGGCAUUAUUCUAUAGCAAGAUUGUAUAUGUCUGCUUCUUUGUGGGCCAAAGAAGUGUGGAAGAAUAUCUUUUACCUUACAUUGAUCAGGCUUUAAGUGAUCAAACUGAGGUUGUCAUUGUAAAUGCAUUGGACUGCUUGGCAAUUUUGUGUAAACGCGGCUUCCUACGGAAGCGGGUAUUGCUUGAAAUGAUAGAGCGUGCCUUUCCAUUGUUAUGCUAUCCUAGUCAAUGGGUUAGAAGGUCAGCUGUCUCUUUCAUUGCUGCCAGCAGUGAAAGUUUAGGAGCAGUAGAUUCAUAUGUUUUCCUAGCACCAGUUAUACGCCCGUUCCUUUGCAGACAUCCAGCUUCUCUAGCUUCAGAGAAGUCUCUACUUUUAUGUUUGGUUCCUCCGGUUUCAAGACAGGUGUUUUACCACGACUUAGAAAAUGCCCGGAGUUCAGACAUGUUAGAGAGACAGAGAAAAAUAUGGUACAAUUCAUCAGCCCAGUCAAAACAAUGGGAACCUGAGGAUUUGCUCAAGGGAGAUGAUAAGGAACCGAAUUCAAUGAAGAGUUGGCCUGAAAAGGAACCAAGUCCCGGGGAUCAAAAUCAUGAUGCUGAUAGAUUGGAACAGCCAGAGGAUGGUGAUGCAAAGUUAAUAGCUAUGGGCUUUAUAGCCAAUGCUUCCAGCAAAGUUGACAUUCGUGAUGCCCUGAGCUCAGAGAAGUUGCAAUUCUCAGGUUGUAUGUCCCCUCAGUUUAGUGGUGUGAAUAGCUUUUUACAUGAUAAAUCCUCAGAAGGCAUACCCUUAUACUCCUUUAGCAUGGACAGGCGAGCAGUAAAAUUUCCUCCAGCAACGUCUGAUUCUUCGUUGCAAAUGAAUUCCCUUGCAAUCAGUUCAUCAUACAUGCCCUGGGUGGAUCACGGAAUUAAAUCAUUUAGCCUGGCUAGUUCUGUUCCUGCACCUAAGCUGGUUUCAGGUUCAUUUAGCAUUACUAAUGGUUCUAAACCAUUUUAUAGAGUGGUACAUGAACCAGAAAGCAGAGAAAAUGAGCAAACAUCAUUCUUUAAUGGUAAAUAUCAAGAUGUGGGAUUAUAUGGAACUUCAAAAGGAAGUUCUUUUACGGUGGAAGAUGCCCCUCCAACUGAUCUAACUGGAUUGCCGUUAUUUGCACGGACUGCUUCAAUUCCUGAUUCAGGUUGGAAACCUCGUGGGGUGUUGGUUGCGCACUUGCAGGAGCACCGGUCUGCCAUCAAUGACAUUGCAGUUUCAAGUGAUCAUAGCGUUUUUGUGAGUGCAUCUGAUGAUUCAACUAUCAAGGUGUGGGAUUCAAGAAAAUUGGAGAAGGACAUCUCAUUUAGAUCAAGGCUAACUUAUCACCUGGAGGGGAGUCGAGCGCUAUGCACUGUUAUGCUUCACAACAUAGCUCAAGUUGUUGUUGGAGCAUGUGAUGGCACAAUUCAUAUGUUUUCUGUUGAACACAUGUCCAGAGGCCUUGGUAAUGUUGUUGAGAAGUAUUCAGGGAUUGCUGAUAUAAAAAAGAAGGAUAUCAAGGAAGGUGCCAUUCUUAGUCUUUUGAACUACACCAGUGAUAACAGUGAUGGCCAGAGUGUUAUGUACAGCACCCAAAAUUGUGGGAUCCAUCUCUGGGAUAUCAGGGCCAAUUCAAACGCCUGGACAUUAAAAGCAGUUCCUGAGGAAGGCUACAUAUCAUCUCUGGUUACAGGUCCUUGUGGAAACUGGUUCGUCUCAGGCUCUUCCAGGGGUGUGCUAACACUUUGGGAUCUGAGGUUCCUUAUCCCUGUAAACUCAUGGAAGUAUUCUCAUGUAUGCCCUGUAGAGAAGAUGUGCCUCUUUGUUCCUCCUCCAAAUGUCACUGUAACCAGCACUGCAAGACCACUCAUAUAUGUUGCUGCAGGGUCUAAUGAAGUUUCUCUUUGGAAUGCUGAGACUGGGAGCUGCCACCAGGUAUGUGCCAAUUGUCUUUAUUUGUUGCCUUUGAUAAUCAGAUUGGGUGGCAUAGAAUAGGAUAAUGCACAAUAGCCUUGGCUAUUGUCUAGGUGUUACAUUAUGAGCAUUAGUUACACAGACUACAUGAGCAAAAAAGGGCUUUACGAAAAGCAACAUUUCAUAUAUGAACAUCUUGUGUUUUGAUAGAUGAAAAAUUUGGUACGAAGGACUGUAUGUUAGUAGAAAACUGAGUUCUGAAGGGUUUGCAUAUCACUGAUAUCGUGUAUAAGCUAAUUUGUUAAGGAUUUGCUCUGGUCUCACACUUAAAUAUUUAAAUGUCCAUUAUUUCUGCUCUAAUUUGAACAUUGGAAUGGAAUUAUUGCUGUGUAAUCUAAAAUUUGACAAUGCAUGACGUCUCUUGCUGCGACACUUGCUACAAAUUGAAGUUUUUGUGCAGUGGGUGACUUAUGGAUAAUUGAAAAGGCAAUCUAAUACCAUUGCACACUCUCGCACACACACAAUAUGUUAGGCCUAUUUUUUGAUUUAUAUUGGUAAUUAUUGUAAGAACUUAAAUUACAUGGGGUAUGGCCUGUUGCAGAUACACAGCUACAUUAAAUAAUCUUUUUAGUAAUAACCACCCAAAGGUUGUACUUAAGAUUUUAUAUUAUGAAAGAGAUGCAAUUGAUUAUGAAUUUCGAGGAUGAAUAUUGUGUUAUAUCUCCAAAUGCUAUGUGCUACAUUUUGCUCGAAAUAAUAUUCUCCUAGUGUUAGAUGAUAUAAGAAUGUCUUGUACUACUUAUAGCUGCAUAAAAAUUCUUUUUCGAUCAAGUUUCUUUUAAUUUUUACUGUUACUCUAUCCUUCUCUACAUUGUUAAUUUUACAUGGCAUUGUUAAACUUCUCUUCCAGGUCAUGAGGGUUGCAAAUUAUGACAAUGAAGAAAUGUCUGAUAUACCAUGGGCCUUGGCCAGGCCAUCCAGUAAGACAAAUCUUAAACUAGAUGUGAGGCGGAAUGUCAAACCAAAGUACAGAGUUGAGGAGCUUAAUGAACCACCUCCUCGUUUUCCUGGUAUUCGUGCGAUGCUUCCCUUGCCAGGUGGUGAUUUGUUGACUGGGGGAACUGAUUUGAAGAUACGUAGAUGGGACCAUUUCAGGUUGUAGUCUGUAUUUUUUCUUUGUAGUCUGUCUUCUCCUUUUAAAAUCACUUCACAUCUCAUGGCAACUAUGGAUUUAACUGUCUGAUUUUUUGUUAUUGUAGCCCUGACCGAAGCUAUUGUAUUUCUGGGCCAAAUUUGAAUGGAGCUGGGAAUGAUAAUCCGUAUGAAACAAGGUCGAGUUUUGGAGUGCAAAUUGUACAGGUAUGCAUCUUACCUGAUUCCUUGAGUUCAUAAAUGUUAAUUUUUAUUUUUACUUGAAAGGUAUAUUCUAUGGACUUAAAGGGUAUUUUCCUCAAUUCAUAAUAAUUCUAUCAUGUGUUGCGUGUGCGGCCUUUAAUUUUAAUAGAAAUAAUUGCCAGAGAGAUAUAUUAGAGAUUAGGAACCAGCUAAAUUUUUAUAGAAAAGUAUGAUUGAUAAAUGGUGUGCUAUAUUAGAGUAUCUUGAUAGGUUUCCCUGUUUUUAAUCCUUCUCUGAUAUUCAGCUGCAUUGCUUUCUUUUCUCCUCUUCUGUUGAUUUAGUAUGAUCUUACCUUUGGACUUGCUGAAAUUGGUGGUUAUAAAAUAUUUCUUUCAGAAAUAGUUGAAGAAUGUUGUCUAUAAUUAAUAGCUGGGAAAAUCAUACCAGAGCUCUGUUGCUAUGUGCUGACAAGAAGUCCAUUAUUUUGGUAGAUACAAUUGUGCUGAAUUGGAAACUCUUGUUGCUUGCUUUAUUUGUUAUCUUUUGUUGCUCAAUGCUAAUCAAAUUUUUAUGUGGUCUUCUGUACCUUUCUAGUUUCAUAGUUUUCAUAUUCUUUUGACCUUGUAUAUAACUUGCAUUGAUGGCUUCCUGAUUAGGUAAAAGCUAUAACAGAACUAUGAUUACUGCAGUCUGUAUUGCAUGCACAUACAAGCUGAGAACACCAUGAAACUCACAUGAAAGAUUGCGAAAUCACUGAUCAUACUAAAUAAAAAUUCAGACUUCCUUUCAUGUUUUACUCUUUUCUUCUCUUUUCCCCUCCAAUUUGUUGCAUUUUGAAAGUGUUUUUGUCCAAUCCUGAACAUAGCAUGCAGUACCAUUCUAUAUGAAGUAGCAAUUCAUAAUGUCAUAUCUCUUUAAUGCAUAACUCCUUGACUUAGUAUUUUGGAUUGAUACCUCUUAUUGUGUUUUAUCAUUUCUUCUUGAUCCAUAGAUUAUAGUGCGCAUUAUUUUUAUCUAGAUAUGCUAAUCUCAAAUUCAUUCUCUCAAUCUCGUACAACUUCAAUAGAGGUGGUUAAAAACACUAUUCUUCUCCAUCCAUGGAUUCUAGUGGACACUAUUACUAUCAAGAUAUGAUAAUCCCAAAAUCAUUUUCUCAAUCACAAACAACAUUAAUAGAGGUGGUUAUAAACACCAUUCGAUAUGGGAUGGGUGGAGGGUCCAAAAACUUGAACGAUAAGACCAUCUUGUAUGCCAAGAUCCAGCGAGUUUUCAUAAUCAGUACAAUGAACAUAACAAAACCAACCUGCAUAAAAAAUGAUUGAUUAUUGAAAAUAAGUACAAGAUUCUUUGACGUCCCAAUUGGAAUACUAAUUGCUCCAAAGAGAUUAUAUUAGCUACAAGAGUGAAGAGUGAAAAGAUAAAUGCCAUUUAAUUUCUUCAAUUCACUUGUUUUGAUCAUAUUAUCUAAAAGACUUUGGUUUUACUGUAAAUUCAUGAAACAACCAGAUAACAUUUCUUAAUGAGUAUUAAAGAUUCUAAGUAUCCUAAAUGGCUUUUUAUUUUUUUCGCAAGUCAUGGUAUAUUUUACUAUGAAAAUCAAAGAUUGCAAAAUGAGCUAUGAUGGAAAUGGCAUCCAUAAAGAGGAAAUAAGACUUUUCUGUAUCGAUUUGAUUUCAUCUUUGAGAUGAGAUAGAUUGUCUAAGUUUUUCUGGUGAAGAGAAUGUAUGCAAUUUGUCAUAGUUUUUUAUGAUAAAUUCUCUUGGGUAUAAAAUGGAUAGAGCAAGAGAGAGUUGAGCAAAAUUAAAAAUAAAAGCUUCAAAGAGAUGAAUCUUGGUUUGAGAGAAAGAUAACAUGGUGAUGAGAGAGACAGACUUAGGAUGCCCUAACAUUUAUUGUCAACAUAAUUCAUUAAGACUUGCUGAAGACAACAUAGUUUUAAGAGAGCCCAAACAGCUAUUCAUUUUAGGAUUUGCUUUAAACAACGAGACUUAGGAUGCCCUGACUAUUAUCACCCAACCUAAUUCAUUUUUGGACUUGCUUAAAACAACAUAGUUUCGAAGGUUUAAUGGGCCUUCUUGUCAAUAACACAUCCUAUUUGUUGAUUAAAUAACCCAGAAGAGAUAAUGUGCAUAUAUUGGCUGACACGUGUUUAAUGAGUCUGAGUUGACACAUCAUUUUUUUUUGUGAUUCUAAAUAGGUGUAAUUUUGGCCCCUGCCAACAUGUUUGGUGAAUUUUGAGAUGUAAUGAAUGAAUUGUUAAGUUUUCCUGCGAUUUUAAGUUUUAACAGCAUGGUCAUCUACCAAUCGAAUUUCUAUUUUAAUUUACCAGUAAAGGCUGCCCCUUUUGUUCUUAAAACACCAUAUAGGAUUUUAUUUGAAAAUUAUGGACGCAGCAAUUUUGGAAGCACUUAAAACAAUGAUCAAACAAAUUGUACCAUGAAUUAAUAAGAAUAGCUAAACAUUUUUCUUCUGACCAGUGCUUUAUGUUUUGCAAUUUAAUAAGCAAGUUUCAGAUAUUUUGUUCCCAUGCUGGCUUUUAUUGCAUUUUCAAUGAAUGUAGUAAUGCAUUCCAUUCCCUUCCUCCACUUGUUUAUCCUUUGCAAUUUAAUAUGCCAGUUCUGAUGAUUUUGGAUUUUGUUUCAGUGAUAUGUGUGUGUGUGUGUGAGAGAGAGAGGGAGAGAGCCUAGCUAUGUAUCAUUGUUAUGUGCGCCAAAGUCUCUGUUUAUAUAAAUAUGGAGUGCUGGAUUUUUCAUCAAUAGCAACUUAUUUAACUUGAAGAAAAAAGAAUGUAAUUUUGUAUUUCAUUAUGAACCAGAAAAUUAGGGUGUCACCCAGUUAAUUUGAUUGGAUCACAGACGAUAUUUCAAAUAAUGUUUCCUUCUGGAUAUCAUCUUGGUUAACAUGACAGCAAUUUGAGCCAAAUGAAGUUUUUUCUGUUCACUUUCUUUUGAUCUUUUCAUUAUGCAAUCACAUAAUUUUCAAAUUUUCAAUGUACAGAGUAUUGGGUUCUUAAUGCUAAAAUUGCUUGACUUUCCCUGCAAACAGGAGACAAAAAGGCGACAUUUAACAGCCAAGUUGACAGCGAAGCAAGUUCUUGCAGCUGCAGCUACUGAUUCUGCUGGUUGCCACCGAGAUUCCAUCCUCUCAUUGGCUUCUGUCAAGUUGAACCAGAGACUUCUGAUUUCAAGUAGCAGAGAUGGGGCUAUCAAGGUUUGGAAGUAAAUAAAGUAUGCAUACAAGUUCAUUUUCGUACAUAUAAUGCUAGUUCAAAUUGUACAUAGAAUAUUAAGAUAGGAAAAAGACGUUAAAUUAUAAUCUGGUGUUGAAUUUAAUGUCCAACCAUGGGCAUAUAUUCUCUCUUCUCGCUUGCUCUUUCAUUUUUCAAAUUGUGCUCUUCUAAGCUUGUAGGAAUUCUAGAUGAUAUGUAUUGUUAACCUGCUCACUACUCUCGGGUAGGUUAACUCUGUACCCAUAUGUAAUGGGACAUAAAAUACCCCUAUCUAUCAUCAUCCACUUCAAAUCAAAUUCAAUAAACUAGUCUAUCAAAUGAAAAUCUUACUCCUCAAAGACCUCUUCCUCUCUCAUCUAACUCUCUGAACGAGAUCUUCAUCUCCUUAUUUUCUCUUCAUUUCUUUUCUAUCUCUUGGUUUUAUAUAAUGCUAUUGAAAAUUAAGAAUUUAUGGAACUCAUUUUUUAUUUACACCAUUCUCUUUCUUUCUUUCUUUCUGUCUCUCUAUUUAGUAUUCAUAAAUUUCUCUCUAUCAAAAUUCAAUCUAAAGAUUUUCCUUAUCCAAAUUUCCCUGCAUAUUCUUCCUUUUGCUUAUUUAAAUCUUCUAACAUACAGUCUAUAUCUCUAACCUUUUCACAUCUCUGUAACUUGGGCCGAGAAUCAAAGUAUAUCAUAAAUCCCAAUUACAUGGGUAGUGAUAAUAGUUUUUGUUUCCAUGGACAACAUGCAUAGAAAUAUCAAUGCAAGACAUAAAAUCAAGGACUUUCUAUCUUAAUUCCAUGAGCAAUGAAAAUGGUGGGAUGGGGGCAAGCAACUUAUGGUUGCAUCAGUUUUCUUGUUCUUAUAUUGCGAAGACAUACACUAAAAAGUUGCAAAGUAGGCGAGAAUUUAGUUCAAACUUGAAAGCCCAAUGGUGUUUGUGGAGAAAGUUGGUUGCAUCUUAUGAUUGAGGAAGAAAAAUGAAAGAACUCUUGUAAUUACUGAUUUGCUUCUUUUAAAGGACACAGUGGAAACUAAUAGACAAAUGUAUUUCUAUGUCCAUUAAAAAUGGGCAGAAUGUUAACCUGACGUACUGGGCAUGCUAUGUACUGUGUUUUUGCAAAAUGUCCUGUUCACUGUAAACCUAUGUAUGCCCCACGGUGUCUAUUGGAUAUUCCAACCAUCAAAAUAAUCUUCUGCCCUCCCUGUCUCCAUGUUGCUCUGAAGGUGUGCUGAUAAUGACUUUACUAUAUAAUUGAAAAGGCAUGCUUCAAUCUCGUCAUUCACUGGCAGCGUCACCCUUACUAUAGAAUUAAAAUUAUGCAUUCUGUACUAGCAUUUGAUUUUACUAGAAAUAUUUGAGAAGGUAAUUUGGUUCCUUUCCAUGUAUCCAUUUGUGGGGAUACCUGGCAUCUUAUAAACUACGAUUUUUUGAAUAUCGCAUAAUAUUUCUUAUAUAAUGUGUUUUAGUAUGUAAAUCUUAAAGUUGGCAUUACGUGUUGUAUUACCUCUUAUGUGCUGAAGAGUUUUCCAUACUUGGAAGAGUGCUUGGAUGGAGAAUUAAACUUGAAUGAAUCUUGACGAUUGUGCAAUGAGGUUGGUAUUUGCUUUGAGUUUCUUAUGUGAGUGGUUCUGUGAUGCAAACUUGAUAAAUCUGAAUUCUCAGCAGAGUCUUGCACCACCAUUUUUUAAAAUAUUGCAUCUUGAUGUUUCUUAGUAGUGGUGAUUUAAGUCCCAUUUGACAUUGAUGUUCAACCUGCUUUUCUUCAAAAUUUGAUGUUUUUCCGCUUCAAAUUAAUUUUAUUUUAGUGUUUUUGAAUCAUUUUGGUGUAGCGAUGUCAAAAAUAAUUUUUUAAAAGAUUAUUUUAAUGUAUUUUCAAGCGAAAAAAUACUUUGAAAAACAAUAUUUACCGCAGUCUCAAAUACCCUUUUUGAAUUUCAUUUUAUAAGUUGGCAGCGCAUGUUGAAUGACCACAAUUUUAGAGUGUUAUUCAUACAUCGGAAUGCUGAAAGGCGAAGGUAUGGGUGUCUAGAUAAAUCUCGUCAAUUUCAUUGCACUGCUGUUGGUGUUAUGUUUCUGAGUUGCUUGCACACGGUUCUAUGAUGCAAAGUUAACAAGGCUUGAUGCGAACCCGGCAGGCACGAAGAAUAUGAAUACUCAUCCAGUAAAAAGGUAAAAUCAAAUUAAAAAACCACGACACUAUGAUUUCAUGAACUAAUAACUGAAGGUGCAUGAUAAGUUCAAUAAAUAACCCAAAGAAGAAGUGUAUUAACGCUGUUUUAUUCUUAAUGACAGCAUAAUAGUCUGUCUUUUCAAUAUUAUUUUGUAUAAUAAAACUUAUAAAAUAAUAAACCCUAAUUAACUAACCAGUCUAAAUUAAAUCCAUAUAAUUAACUUAAAUUUAAAACUGAAUACGAAAAAGAAUAAUCAUAAUUAGUUAUUGGAAUUAUAUUAAACUUGCAUAUCUAAUUUAAAUCCAAGAUUGCAUGAGAAUUAAAAUAACCAUAAUUAGAUAUUGGAUUUAUAAUAAACAAAUUCAAAAUUGAAUAAGAAUAGACUUGUAGUCUUUAAAUGAGGCGCAAUCCAAAUAUUAUAAAGCAGCCCAAUACCUCGGUGAUUCUCUUGGUUUUUUUUUGUCUUGUAAUAGAUCCAAUCAGCACAUGAAGGGUUGUCCGAAAAACCUAGUUGUUGGAUGAGUGGCAAUUCCACUGAUUUUUGUUAAAACUCUUUUGAGUCAUUCUUCUAUCAAGCUGCCUAUAAAACUAGAGUGGUCAAAACGAGGGUGAGGUUGCAAAUGAGUGUGUGCAUGAGGGUUACAUAGGCAGAGCAAUAUUUCAGAAUAUGAUGAGAUGGUUUGGGCAUUGGAACUUGCCAUGUAAAGCAUUUUUUUGGUUGAUAGAAGCUUUGCUCAGGGUGGAUGAAGGUACUACUCUACUGGGUUAACAAAAAAACACGAAGGUCAAAUAGAAUGAUGGCGACAGAAGACUUCAUGAUAUCUCUGUUUUUAUUUAGAAAUUAACACCAUUUAGAGACAGCUCGUUGAAUCCACUGCAUGAAGCUUAUUUAUUACAACUUCUUCCAAGCCAAGGUGAUUUUGAUUUAGACAGAGCAUGUUUCAAGUCAAUUCACCAGUGAGGACUUGCGAGACAUGUCUGACAGCUCUUGACACCCUCCAAACUUGGUGCUGUACCGAGCGCCAUGCCUCUGGCGUGCUGAGACUCCUCGCCUCUUCAAUCGCGUCGUCUAUUCCAGGAAAGUAGCUCGAUCCAUAAUCAUCAUGCUUUGACGGUGCAUAUAUCUGCACAAAUACAGAGAAUCACUUCCAUCUAUCUGCUCUUGGCAGUCGUAAUAUAUAUAUAUAUAUAUAUAUAUAUAUAUAUAUAUAUAUAUAUAUAUAUAUUAUCACUCAGGAUUAAGAAGAGACAUACCAAAUGCUUGUACCAUGACCUCCCAGAAAGCCCUUCUGCGUCUGUAAAUGCUCGUUCCGCCAUCAUCAGCCUGUCGUUGAUCUCUCUCACCUUCACUUGAUCUUUCUUGAACUUCCAUGCCCACACUCUGUUUUCUUCAAUUGCCUGAAUAUUCAUAAUUCUUUGGUAUUGAUGUUGAUAUGUCAAUCCUUACUUGAUAGAAAAUCUUGCCAUACCUUUCUCUCCUGGUUUAUUUUUGUGGCUGCAUCUCUUAGUCUCUUAAUGGACUCGAACAGGGGAGCAAGCCUUAUGCCCUUAUCCGAUAUCUCAUCUUCCAAGUCCUUUGCGUUUUUCUAUAAUGCAUGGAUUCGAUCGUUAAUACUGCCAUCAAUGUUUGGCUCUGAAUUAUAAAUUAGUCUUUCUAAUUUUAUAAAAUAAAUUAAAUAGUUCUCUUAGUUUUAAAAAUCAAUUAAUUAAAUCAUGUUUAAUAAAACGUUGUUUUAUUUUAAAAAAGAAUACUUCUUUCUCAUCAAAAGGAAGAAAUCAUUAUUUACUCUUCUGUGCAUUGAUUAUGAUGUACAGACUACAGAUCAACAUUACCUGGAGCUCGUAUGCAUAGGAUAGAUAGUCGAAAGGCAGAAAUUCUUCAUCUGCUAACUGAAGAGCUGUCAAACCCCAGACGCUCGCCACUGUAUUACAAAUAUCAAACCACGUGAUGAACUAGUAGAAAGUAAUUAGUUCGUAAGAACUACUGGUAUAAUAAUUCAUGUGUUCUAUAAUAUUUUCUGUACAACAACAAGAAUCUCUCUAUCUCCAUAUCUUCUAACUCUCAAUCUUAUUUUCUCAAUUACAAUCAUCUUUGUAAGGCAGGCUUUAGCAUGUUGGUAUUAGAAUAUACUUAUCCAGGCUAUUGCAAAAGGGAAGACAGAGAUAACAAAGCUUUGGAAGAGCAUGGUAGACAAUUGGAUGUGAGGAUACAUGUUCUUCAUCAAGAAUUGCAAGAUUCGGGCAGGCUAAAUGGAAUGAACAACUUAAUGCACAAAUGGAAGAACCAAGCUAUUACAAGAGGUGUGAUUUGUCUACAACAAAAUCAUAACCAAGAUGAACCUGUGGGAAUCAAUGAAGGACAAAGAGGUAUAUACAAUGUACCAUUACCUAAAGUAGAACUACCUACAUUUCAUAGGGAAUCCAAGGGGGUGGGUUAGGAAAUGUAGAAAAUUCUUCAAGUUACAUUUUACAAAUAGCUUCACUUUACUCAGAAGACAAAACAUAAAUUUGGUUAGAAGGUUUCUUGAUUAGAGAUCAUGACCAGACUAAGUGGGAAGAGUUUGUUUGAUCUAUUUGUACAAGUUUUGGCAAUAGAGAGGAUGUAGUGGAUGUAGUGGAAGAAUUCAACAAGUUGGUGAAGGAUAAAGGAGUAAAGAAGCAUGUUUAAAAGGUUUGAGGAGCUCACAUCUUAAUGAGCACUUCAAAUUCCUCAUUACUAGAAUCAUACUAUAUAUCGAGCUUUAACAAUGGCCUAAAGACCAACAUUAAAAAUACUAAAGCCUUUAACAUUGAUACAAGCAUUUCAUCAAGUAAGGUGGCAAGAGAAAUCUAACCAUGUUGUGGUAUGGAAGAAUAGAAUGAUGCCUAGAAUAUCACCUUCUUUCAAUAAUAAAAGACCACCAGUAAUUCAUCAUUGAAAACUCCCUACAUUAUAAGAACUCAUAUGACACUAAAAGGAAAACGAAUACAUGAAACCUUAUAUAAACAAAUGAGAAAAUUAGGACAAUGUUAUAAACAUGGUGAAAAAUUUGUACCAGGUUAUCAAUGUAACAAGAACAACUUGAAUUUGAUGAAUGGUGUAAAAGAAGGUAAAGAUUUUUUAGAAGUAAAGGAGGGAGAUAAUAAAGAAAUUAUGGCCGAAGAGGAUCCAAUGAAUGAGUAUGUCUUAUCUCUUAAUGCAUUGACUAAAAGUUAUAAUCAUAAUACAAUAAAAGUUAAAGGAAAUUAUCAAAAUAAAAACCUUAUAAUUUUUAUUUAUAAUGGUAGCACCCAUAGUUUUAUAGAUGAACAUGUGGUUAAUGAGAUCAUAGUUACCAUUGAGAAAACUAUUAUGUUAGCAGUGAUUGUGGCUUAUAGCACUAUUAUGAAUUGUAAUGUAUAUUGUCCAAGAUUUAUAUGGUAUAAAAAGGCAUGAAUUUCAAGCAGAUUUGAGAGUUUUUAAGUUAGGGAGAUGUGAUAUGGUACUGAGAAUGGAUUAGUUGAGAUCUUAUUUUCCCAUUCCCUUUGAUUUUAUCAAGAUGAAGUUGUAUUUUAGAAAACAAGGAUGGAUGAUUGAGUUUAAAAGGAUUAUUAAGGAGGCCACUCUGUAAUUAAUCACAACAUCUAAUGUUAAAAAAAGCUCAAAGAGGUAAUAUAUGGUUUUGUAGGAUAAUUUUCCUCAAUUGAAGCUAAAGAAGAACUUAAGCAGAAAGAGAGGAUUCCUAAAAUCAAGGCUUUAUUAAAAAGAAUUUUAAUUAAUAUUUGAUGAACCAAAUAAAUUGCCUCUAGUAAGGACUUUGUAUAAUAAGAUUCCUUUGAUUCCAAAUGUUAAACCAGUUAACAUCAGACCUUAAAAAAGUUCUUUUAUGCAUAAAUAAGAAAUUGAAAAAUUGAUGAAGGAGAUGCUUCUUAAUGGAAUAUUUCACCACGAUAGCAGCCCAUUUAUUUCUCCAAUAUUGUUAAGAGAAAAAAUAAGACAACAACUAGAGGUUUUGUGUUGACUACAGACAAUUGAAUGAGCUGACUAUAAAGAACAAAUCUUCAAUUCCAUUAAUAGAUGACCUGAUGGAUGAGUUGUAUAGAUCACAAUAUCUUUCAAAAUUGGAUUUGAGGUCUCGUUAUCAUUAGGUGAGGAUACACACUAAAGACAUUUGAAAGAUGACCUUUAUAAUCCAUCAUGAGCAUUAUGAGUUCAAGGUGAUGCCAUUAGGAUUAACAAAUGCACCUGCAACAUUCCAAGCACUAAUGAAUAAUAUGUUUGAACCUUUUCUAAAAACAUUUGUGUUGGGUUUCUUUGAUAAUAUUCUGGUGUAUAACCCUACUUUAUGUGAGCCACCUCAGAACAAUUCUGAAAACACUAAAGAGUCAUUAGUUGUUUACCAAACAAUUUAAAUGCACAUUUUGUGAAUCUCAAGUUGAAUAUCUUAGGGAUAUUUUAUCAGCUGAAGGGGUUGUUAUAGAUCUUAUGAAGAUAAAAGCAGUGAGAAACUUUUCUAUUCCUAAAACAAUAAAAGAGCUUAGAGGAAUUAUGGGAUUGCCAUGUUAUUACUGGAAAUUCAUAGGGUGAUUUGGAAUUCUAAGUAGUCCCUCGACUAACUUAUUCAAGAUAUCUUUAACUAGUAUAAGAAUUCAUAAAAGACUUUUGAAAGACUUAAAACAACCUUUUGUGAUACACCAGUAUUAGCAAUAUCUAAUUCUAGAAUGAUUUUUGCACUAUAAAUUGAUGCUUGUGCUACAAGAAUAGGGGUGGUCCUUAGUCAGGAAGGGAGACCAUUGCCUAAGUAAAGCUUAGGUAUUUGAGAUUAUCUACAUAUAGGAAGGAAUAUUUGGUAAUUUUAUUGGCAGUAGACAAAUAAAGACAAUGUUUGGAGCAUGAUUAGUUUAUUAUUAAAACUAAUCAUUAGAGUUUGAAAUACUUACUUGAUUAAAAGAUUCAUUCUUCCAUACAAAGAAAAUGUUUGACAAAACUUUUAGGGCUGAGGUAUCGAAUUCUUUAUUAAAAGGGAAAAAGAAUAAUGAUAUUGAAGUUUUGUCAAGGAGGGGAAUGAUUGGUGAAGGACUAAAAACUAAAGAUAAAGUCAAAAUGAAAAACCAGGUGCAAAUAAUAAUGUGAUAACAAACACACUGGUUUUUUUAUUAACGUGGGUAUCCGGGCUAGCUUGCGCGCAUCUCAACUAAUCUCACAGGCCUUGAAGUUAACGAUCAUGUAAGCCUCCAGUAGCCUUGAGGUUUGUGGGACUCAAACUGGUAACCUCUAGGGAGCAAACCUAAAGGCUGACCAAUUGAGCUACACCCCUCAAGGUUAACAAACACACUAUUUUUUGUUUUUUUAGGUGUGGGAGAGAGAGAUUUAGGUGUGGGAGAGAGAGAGAGAGAGAGAGAGAUUAUGUUGCUUGAUGACAUAUAUAAUGUGAUAACUUAAAUUCUCUUUAAAUUAUUUGUCUAUGUUAAUUUGUGUUUGAUGACAUACAUACCAGCAAUAUGUCUUCGAAACAUAGGGUCCCCAAACUUUUCCAUCCAAACAAAGUCGUCAUACAUUGAAUGAUAUACUGGAUAUCCUGCAUGCAGUUGACCAUUACCGUUAGCAAAGCACUAGUUAGAUGUACAAUUACAGUGCUAUAAAACUUAGUCUAACCAUGCGGGUUAAGUUGUGACUGUCAAUCUAGUAUCUGGUUUAAAUUGAAUUUUAAAUUAAACCAAUAAAAGUUAACUUAGAAUAAUCCAAUCAAUUUGAUAAGUGCAUUCAUGACUCGGUUAAAACCAAGUUUGACUUUAAUUUUAUUUUGUAAAAAAAUAUUGAAAUAACGAUAUUUUACAUUGACCCUGUUCCACUCCAGUUAGCUUGUUUAAUUUAUGAUAUAGGUCAUUGGACUAACUAGAUUUAAUAACUUUAUCUUUUGGAAUAUAUUUUUCCAUUUAGUUAUACAACAGUAAAAAUAGAUAGACAUCAAAGAUAACAUAUAAAAUUAUGAGUAUUUUUAAUCAAGAUUAUCUUUUCAAAUUUAUAUAAUUAUUUUCUAGAACAAAAUUAUUUUUUUAUUCACAAUAUAUUCAUUAAAUAAACAAGCAAAAACAAUCAUACAAAAUAUAUAUAAAAAAACAACAAUUUGAACUAAAAAGUAAAACAAAUAUUUGAUAAAAAAAAUCUAAUUCUCUUAUUAACAAUUCUAUUUUUUAUUUUAACAAAAGCAUUUUUUUUACGAUAAUCAUUGUUUUUUAAGAAAAAAAAUUAUUACAACUAUGAAAGCAAGUUUUAAGUAACAUCAUUUUUUUUUAAAACAAAUCAAGAAAAAAUCAUUCUUAGGAACCUAUAUGAAAAAAAAUUAAGAGAACAAUAAAUUAAAAAACAUUAUAUAAAAAAAUUAAAAUAAAUAGAUAUUUUACUCUUAUUCAAUAUUAAUGAGCAAAUUAUUUUAAUAAUAUUGUAUACAAGGCUAAUACAUAAUUUUUCAUAAAACAACUUAUAAUACAAUUAUAAAAAGCCCAUAUAUUCUUAAAAACAAUGAGAUAAUAUUUCUGGUAAAAAAAAUUAAUCAUUUGAAACAAGAAAAACCAUUUACCUCUCCAAUAUAUACUUUCUUAUUAAUGCAUCUAUUUUUUGUUCCAACAAAGCAUGUUUUUCACUCAUAAGUAUUGUUUCUCAACUAAAAACUUAUCAUGAUCUCGUAAGUGUUUUUUAAUAAAAAAAUUAAAAUAAUGGCUCAAUAUUUUUGUAUAUAAAAAAAUAUAUUAAGAAAAAAAGUAACAUAUUUUUAUCAUUGAACAAAUUUUCAAUUCUAACUUUUGCAUAUUAGGCACAUAAUAUUUGAGAGUUAUAUUGUUAACAUUCCCAUAAAAAAUUUCAAGAUAUUAUUUAAAAACUAUGUCAAAAUUAAUUUCAAUAAAAGUAAAAUAAAAACAAUAGAAAAAGACCAGGCACUUGAUCCUUAAAGAUUUGGUCCACAAACGAUGAAUUAAAAAUGAUAUUUUGUUGGUGAUAUGUUAUAUUUACCGAUAAAUAUACUGACGGUCAAAUGAAAAUACCAAUGACAUUACAUAUGAUUUUCCUAUCGGUGAUAUAUUAAAUUUACCGAUGGAGAUACCGACGAAAUAAAGCAGGUAAAUGUUUUUUGGCACACUUUGUAUGUCAGUAAAUCCAUCAAUGUAUUCAUUACCAAUUGACUCACCAACAGACCAUAAAUUAUCGACGUGAGUUUUUUCGACGGAUUGUUUUCGUCCGCGAGUCCGUUGGUAAUAUACGUACCGAUAAACUGUGAGUGUAAAUACCAUAAAUUCUAACUUCAUUUCUUUUUUUCUAUUUCUUCUCUCAAAAUCCAAAAACUAAAAAGUAAAACAAAUAAAGUUUAGGAUUGAAAAGUUAAACCCUUUAAAAACAAUCAUGGAUAAAAAUAAAAAAAAUAAAAAGUUUUAAAAAAGAAAAAGAAGGCCGACUCUUUGCUUCUUUGUUAAAUUUAGUUCAUGGAAAGAAGAAGAAGAAGAAGAAAGAUAUCCUAUUACUAAGUUACGAAAAAUCAAUUUCAUUUGCCAAAUCUCUAUAAAAGGUAUUCUUAAAAAUGAAAAGAAAAGAAAAGAAAGAACAAAAGCUGUUUAUUACCUUUCCCAAAAGAGACGUCAGCCGAUGCAAUGCCAAUAUGUUGUACAAAAGCUGCAUAAUCUGAUCCUCCACCACCUAGUCUCUCAAUCUCCAUAUAUUCACGUAGUAUAUAUAAUUUUAUUACCAUUAAUUAGGCAUCUUAAUACUAUAUAUAUAUAUAUAUAUAUAUAUAUAUAUAUAUAGUAAUAAAACUAAAGCAAACAUAUAUAUAAGCUCCUAUCAUCAUGAAAAGUGGAUUGACAGGCUGAUAAUAUAUAGAUCAUUAAACUACUAAUCUCCUAAAAUUUUGUGUUGUCCUCCACAUAUUAAUUAGCAAUUAUAUAACACAAGGAAAACAAAUAAAGGUAAUUAAAAAAACAUUUAAUGAAAAAUAUCAUAUCAUAAGUUGUUUAAGGAUUUAUUUUAAUAUAGAGGUUGGGUUAUAUUUUAUUUACACUUUUAUUAUUAUUUCUAAAAUCCUUUCUAAAUAAAAAUAAUAUCAUAUCUUUUGAUGUAGUGUUUUUUCCUAAGAGAAAAUCAAGUAGAUUAAGGGUUUCAAAUGAAUAUGCAUUAAGCAUAUUCAAAGAAUCCAAGAUUUUGAAACACCCAUUCUUUUAAUUCCACAUGAAAGAAUAUUUGGCAAAACUAUAUGUUAAAAAGCAACUGCGCUGAUGAAUGUCUUAAUUAGAACUUCUCAUCUAGCAGUCCAACGAUCUCUUGUUGAUUUUACCAUAGGGUUUCUCCGAUGUCAAUAACUCAUGUGCAAUUGCAUCAAUCAAUCGGCAAGGCCAGCAUUAAUAUGCUUACCGUAGGAGAGUUGUCGGGAGCAACCCAUGAUUCAUAGAUGGUCUGUGAUGAGUUAUCUGGGUCACCAACCUUCAAAAGCCAACAAAAGAAUCUUGCUGAGAUGAGCUAAAAACAAAACACACACACAGACAGAUAUAUAUAUAUAUAUAUAUAUAUAUAUAUAUAUAUAUAUAUAUAUAUAUUUCACAUAUAAAAAGUAGUGGUUGUGGUGAGAGCUAGGUGGUAUAAUAAAUGAUCAAUGGAUGAUGAUAAUGCUAAUGGCGAGAGAUGGUAGUAGAGGCAAUGAGUGUAACAGCGAUAAAGAUGAUGAUAAUUAUUGAUGGUGAUGGUGAUGGUAUCUUUAAUAAUUAUAGCUAGAUUGAUGAUGGUGGUAAUAUGAAAUUGUGGAGAGAAUGAUAAUUAGCGUUGAUGGAUAUAUAAAAGCCUUGCUAGAGUGAUAAUGGUGAUGAUUAAGAAAUGAUGUUGUGUUAAUUAAGCACUAUUAUUAACAAUAUGGAAGGGCAUGAUCAUCACUUGUGAUGAUAUCAGUUUGGUUAUGGUGGAGUAAUGUGGUGAUGACAACAAUUAAUUAGUGGUGGGAGCUAGUAUAUAUAAUUUAGUCUUAAUCCUUGUAUUAUAAAAAACUCUGUGUAAAUGGUUAUUAAACAUGUUAGGUACCUGCUGAGUAGUCUUCGCGAGUAAUUUGUCCAGCUGAGGUGUUGCAGAAGCAUGAAAUCCGGCUCCGGUGACUGCACAGUCAACAUUCAAGUAGGCAACAGCCCUCGAUGUCAGGAGUUCUCUAUUGUCUUCUACCCACUCAGUCGAUCCUAUCUGGAAACAGGACUCAGUUUAUGUUACACUUCAUUAAUUUUAAUGACAACACACACACACACACACACAGACAUGAGAGAGAGAGAGAGAGGGAGGGAGAGAGAGACCAGGCCAUACUCUUCCGCAUCCCAAUUGCACAAGACAAUUGUUCUCCGAGGUUUCCAUCCUUUUUCUUGUAGCUUCAUCAGUCUUCGGGCAACCUGCAACGAGGGUAGGAAUCAUUUAUAUUAAUUAUAUGAAUUUCCACUAGUAGAAAAUGGUGAAUUUUCCCAUGACAUUACAUUAUUUACGUGAUUAUGAGUAAAGAACGUAAGAAUUAACAUAAAAAAGCUUAUUAUGACUGGAUUUUCACCAAAUUAUUUACUGAAAAUCCUCGUACAAAUUAAAUAUUAUCUUUGUGUAAGAGAAUAUUUAUACCUAGUAAUUGAAGGUAAUGCAAAAUAACAUGACACUACUUGAGAGAGCACGACUGUAGUUAAUGAUAAAUAGAGACGAAAUAAAUUAAUAUAUUGGGAUUAAUAUUAUUGAUCGAUGAAGCCUACCUCUAACAAUGCCGCGGUUCCACUAUUGGGAUCAACUGCUCCAAAUGUCCAUGCAUCCCGAUGAUUACCCAGAAUCACAAAUCUUUAAAUCAUUGCAACAAAAGUACUAUUAGCAAGUCUCGAAUAAUAGCGCCUAAUGUUGGAUUUUCUUUCUUUGGGAUAUAAUAAAUUACUAGCCUUAUAUAUAUACUCGCAGUAGGAUUUUAAAUUAAUUUCUAAUGCAACAAAAAAACUUUUUUAAAUUAUAGAUGUGUUUUUUGAUAUCAUGAAUUUUUUAAUCAAAAAACAAAAGAAUUUUGUUAAUACUUAAUAAAAUAAAUUAAAAAAAAUUAAAUUUUAAAUAAAAAAUAGAUAUUAAUGCUAAUUAAUAAAAAAAGCAGGAAACUAAUCUUCAUAGUAAAAGCUAUAUAAAAACGCAAAUGUUUUACACCUUAUAUCCAUUUUAUUUUAUACAUUUUAUUUUAUACAUUUUAAUUUAUUUUAUGUUAGAGGUUAAUUGUUUUUCUUGCUAAUGACAAAUUUUUUUUUUUUAUAAGUGUGCCAUUAAAAUACAACUUAUUUAUAUAAAAUAUAUGAGUGGAAAAAUUAUAAUAAUCUCUUCGCAGCAAUAUAAAAUAAAAUAAAACAUUUAGAAAGAUGAAUCACCUUUUUUUUUAAAAAAAAAAGUAAAGCUAAACCAUUUAAAAAUUAAAAAAGACUGUAUUAAUUAAUAUUUAAAAAAAAAAGAGCAAUGAAAAAGAAAAAUGCUUUACUAGACCCGGUAGGUUAGGUCCACACAUUUAACCAUCCAUUCAAGAGUUCAACAUGCUUGGGUUGAAAGCUCAACCUCACAUGCAUGUCUAUUCUUUUUUUUAAGGUCCCCCCCUCCUCUUAAAAGAGGUGAUAGGUGGCUUAUCGAAUUAAUUUUUAAUUAUUUAUAAUAACUAAAAUUUAGAAUUUAAGUUUUUAGAUUUAAAAAAUUCAUUUUUUAUUUGCUUUUAAUUGAAAACACCUUAAAAACAAUAUCAAGACCUUCAUAAACUUAUUUUUAAUCCAAAAACAGCCUCUAAUUACUUCAAAAAUAAAAAUCAACCAAAUAAAAAAAACUAAACAAACCUUAAUAUACUUUCUGGUAUAUUUAUAGGAAAACAUAACCUCUUGCAAAAAAACAAAUCCACCAACAUAAAAUUAGCUUUUUGGUAGCUAAAUUAUGAUCAUUCGAGAAUCUUUUCUCUUCUUAAAAUUCUAUGAAGAUUUUUUCUCUCUUCUUUUAAUAUCUAGGGAGUGAACGUGAAGACAAUAAAGAUUUAUAUCGGAAUCUAAAUUGCUAAAAUAAGGAACAAAUGAUAGAAAAACCUAUAAUUUAAAGGAUUGAGCUGAAGUUUUGUGUGACAAAAUAGUAAUGGGAUCUUCUUUCUUCUUUUAUUUUUGUCAAAGUUGAUUCUCCUUUUAAUUACAAUUUUUAAUCAUAAUUAAAGAUUGAUUUUGUUAAAUCGAUAUUCAUUUAAUCUUUGAACAUUGUUUACAACUCUAUACAUGUUAGAUGAUGUAAAAUAAAAGAAAUGUUGAAAAAAAUCAAAAGAACAGAGCAACACAUAGUGUUUUUCGAGAUGAGUUAAAGUGAAAUGUCCUUCUCUUCUAGUUUUUUCUAUAAUAAUAUUUUUCGUGCGCACAUUUGUGUAUACCGAUGUGUGUUUUUAUGUGUGUGUGUGUUUUAUAUAUAUAUAUAUAUAUAUAUAUAUAUAUAUAUAUAUAUAUAUAUAUAUAUAUAUAUAUAUUUUUUUUUUUCCUUACCUAUCCGGCUCCUCAACUCCUUCGAUUAUAGCAAUAACAUUCUGAAUUGUUUCUAUAGCUUUCUUUCAUAUAUAUAUAUAUAUAUAGUUCUAUAAAAAAUAAGCAAGUAAAUAGUAGAAUUUAAUGAUCUUACAGUAUAAGUAAGAUUUAGAAUCCCGGGCCCUGGUCCGAGCCUAUAUGUUGGACUAUCUUUGCUUCCUUGCCAGUCUUCAUUUGCCACUUGUCCACCGACAGACCGCAUGAUUGUUUCACCGUCAGCCGCUGAUACAGGCAAUGAAGGUAUUAAAGGAACAUUGCCUUGUUUCUCUACUUCGUCAUCCGAUAUCCUUUCACAUCCUUGAAUACUCGGCCAUCCAGGUGUGCUCGGGUCACCGGCCCCGUCAUAAACAGAUCCCACCUGAACUCCACUUGGUGGCAUCCACUUUGCCUUAGGAAACCAUCCCUCAUCACCUCCACCCCCAUAGUCCUUCCUAUCUGUAUACACAAUUGCUCCUAUUGCGCCUGCCUCAAAUGCAUUAUUUACGAUGUCUCCCCUGAAAAUCUUUCCAUACCUUGCUAAUACAAUAGUCCCCGUUACAUUCACUCCCAUUUCUUUUAAUGUCUUGUAAUCUUCCACCCGCCCGUAGUUCGCAUAAACCACAGCUCCACGAACUGUACCUGACUUUGCAUAGGCAUGGAAAGUGGGCAAGACUUCAUGGGCCACGUCAGCAUAUGGAUCGCCAUCAUAAAUCUCUUGACGAAGAUCAAACGUGAUUGGUAAUUGCUCUGAUGCUGGUUCUGGUUGUGUUAAGAUUAAGGAUCGUGAAAUAGGAUAAGUCAAUGAAACAUCAUAGGAGACGAUGUGGGAAUCGAUGUUGUAUGACACGAGAGUAGAUAGAACAUAGGCCGCAGCUUGGGCGUUGGCUUCUGUUCCAGCAGCAUGGGGUCGGCGGGUGAGCAUGUAGAGGUCGUGUGAUAUCGAUGCAUUGUCAGAGAUGGAGUUGGAUAUGUAGAGGGAAUGAUAAUAUGAUUUGGGUAGAGAAGAAGAUAGUAAAAAGGAGAAAGAAGUUGCUAUGCCUAUUGCUAGGAAGCUAACGAUGGCUAUCUUGAUCAUGGAGUGCUUCAAUUUUGUGUAGUUAUGGCUAUGGGAUAUACUCCACUGCUCCUUCAUUAUUGUUGAGGGGCUGCACAGUAUAUUUCGUAGAUGAUUGCUUAGACUUUGGAUGAUUUAUCAAUUAAUCAAAAGCUUUUGACGCAACACCGAUGAAAACGAGAGAGAUUGAGACGUUUAUUUUUUAAUUUCAAUGUACUAUUGCUCGACUGCUUAGCGGUGCUUGUGGGGCUGCACAGACAAAAAAAAAAAAAAAACUAUUUUGGGAGUUAGCCAAUCUAUUUCAAUGGCAAUAUAAUUUUGUACAAAUACCAAAUAUACCACUAAAUUACUUAGGCCAUGUUUGUUUUCUGGAAUUCACUUUCCGGGAAACCACUUUCCAAACUUUCCUGUGUUUGUUUGCCAUUAGAAAAGUUGGUCAACGGAAACCACUUUCCGGUCAACGGAAAACACUUUCCAUUCAACGGAAACACUUUUCGGUCAACGGAAAACAUUUUCCAGUCAACGGAAACACUUUUCGAAUUUGGUUUGGUUUUCAGGAAAGUGUUUUCCCUUUUGGCUGUGUUUGUUUUUCGGAAAGUGAUUUCCGGGAAACCACUUUCCAAACUUUCCUGUGUUUGUUUGCCAUUAGAAAAGUUGGUCAACGGAAAACACUUUCCAGUCAAAGGAAAAUUUGGCUUGGUUUUCAGGAAAGUGUUUUCCUGGAAAAUUUGGGUGGAAAACACUUUCCAGAAGUUGUGAAAAAUUUAGAAAUGUCAUUAUUUGCUGAUUAUAUCAAAUUUGAUUCUCAAACUUUUGAUUGCUAUAUAUAAUUUGUUUUGAAUAUUUAUUUUUCAAUUCCAUCUCUUAAAAUUUAAUUUUUAUAUUAAUUUUGGUCCUUAUUUUUAUAAUUGCUAUUUGCUUUUUCCUUAUCAUUUUUUAUUGAAAUUUUUUAUCUAUCAAAUUUGGUCCUCAUUCUUUUGAUUGUUACUUAUUUUAUUUGAAAUAAUUUAUGAAAUGUUAAUUAUUAUUAUUUUAAUUUCUUCACCUUUUAUUUUUUUUUAUUUUUUUAGAUUUGAUCUCUAUUAUUUUGAUUAUUAUUUAUUUUAUUUGAAAUAAUUUAUGAAAUUAUAUUUUUUUUCAAUUUCAUUCUCAUUCAACUUUUUAAUUUGUAAGAUUUGUUCCUCAUUAUUUUAAUAAACUUGAGAAAAAUAAAACAUUAAUAAGUUAUUUUCCAGCUUAUUUUCCAUGACAUAACCAAACACUGGAAAGUGUUUUCCAACUUACUUUCCAUUACACUACCAAACAUCGGAAAAUACUUUCCCGAAAUUCACUUUCCCCGGAAUUCACUUUCCAAAAGAAAACUACUUUCCAGCAAACAAACGGGACUUUAGAUAUCAUUCAUUUUAUUCCCCAACUCAAUUCCAUAAACAUUAUUGUUUUCAUACCGGUAUGCAAAAACAUAUAAUGGGGCAAUGAAAAGUAUCUAAAGUUGUUUGCUUGGCUACUUAAGGCAUAAAAAUUGCAAAAAGCCCUAAUUUGACAUGUAUGAAAAUACAUAUUGUGAGACUAGGCUAGUUAAGGCAAAAACAUUGCAAAAGCCCUCAUUUCACAACCUUAUAAAAUUCACAAUGAUAUUAAAAAAUGUUUGGUGUAGCUUUGAAGGUGCAUAAAGUUUCCUAAUAGGCUAGUUAUCGUACAAAAGUCACGAAAGCACCAAUUUCACAAAUUUUAUGGUUUUCGCGUCUAUAUGUAGAAACAUAUCGUGAGGCCAUGAAUGGUGGCUAAAAUUGUCUAACAAGUUAGUUAAGGCAUAAAAGUUGCAAAAACACAAAUUCCACCAACCUUCCAGUUGCCUUAAUGUUAUGAUAAAUGUUUUAUAAGGCCUAAAAAUUGCGUAAAAUUGCUUGAUAGGCUAGUUAAGGGACAAAAGUGGCCAAAUCUCCAAAUCCACCAAGUUUAUUAUUUUUCACACUGGUAUGUACAAACAUGUUGUAUGGCUAGGAAAGGUGCCUAAAGUUGUUCAGACUAGUUAAGGCAUAAAAGUUGUAAAAGCCUAAAUUAAACAAACCUUAUGAUUUUUGCAUAGGUAUGUAAAAUCAUUGUAUGAGGCACCAAAAUGUGUCUAAAGUUGCUUAGUAUGCUAGUUAAGGCGCAAAAGUUAGAAAUGCAACAAUUUUUUAAACCAUAUGGUUUCACAUAGGUAUACCAAAACAUAUUGUGUGACCAUAAAAGGUACUAAAGUUGCUCGGUAUGCUAGUUAAGGCACUAAAGAUGUAAAAGCAUAGAUUCCAUAAAUGUUAUAUUUUCACGUGGGUAUGAAAAAAUUAAUUUUGGAGCCCCAAAACUUGCAAAACUUCUUAAUAAGCUAGUUAAGGCAUAAAAGUUACAAACCAAAAAUUCCAGAAACCUUAUGGUUUCAUAUUGUUAUAGCAAAAUGUACCGUGAGGACUCAAAAGUAGCGUAAAGUUGCCUCUAGGCUACUUAAGUUAUAAAAGUUUCCAAAGCACCAACUCCACAAAUGUUAUGACUUUCAUUUAGGUAUGCAAAACCAUAUUGUUGAUACAUGAAAGGUGUUUAAAGUUGUCUGGUAGGCUAUUUAUGACAUAAAAGUUAGAAAAGCUCCUUUUUCAAUAACCUUAUAGUUUUCACACCGGUAUGGAAAACCAUUCCAUAAGGCUCUUAAAUGUGCAGAAAGUUGCCCAAAAAGGUAGUAAAGGCAUAGAAUUUGCAAGAGCAUAUAUUCCAUAAUUUUUAUGGUUUUUGCAUGUGUAUGCAAAAACAUAUUGUAGGGUCUUAAAAGGUGUAUAAAGUUUCUAAAUACUAGCUUUUGCAAAUAUGCCUAAAAUAAUCUAGAAUGCUAUUUGAAACAUAAAAGUUUCUAAAACACCAAUUUCACAAACCUUAUAGUUUUCGUAUUGGUAUGUAAAAACAUAUAUGGGGCAACGAAAGGUGUCUAAUUUUGUUUGUUAUGCUAGUUAAGGCAAAAAAAUAGCAAUAGCCCAAAUUCCAUACGGUAUGCAAAAAUAUAUUGCGAGGCCCUGAAAAGUGUUUAAAGUUUUAUGGUAGGCUAGUUAAGGGAAAACUUUUGCAAAAUCCCCAGUUUCACAAGCCUUAUGGAAUUCACACCAAUAUUAAAAAUGCGUUGUGUAGCCUCGAAAGGUUGUAAAGUUUCCUAAUAGGCUAAUUAAGGCUCAAAAGUUGUAAAAGUUUAAAUUCCAUAAAUCAUAUGGUUUUUGUGUUCAUAUGCAAAAAUAUAUCAUGGGGCCUUAAAAGGAGGCUAAAAUUACUUGAUAGCUAAUUAUCAAAAAGUGUGUAAAGUGUCCUGCAUAAAAGUUGCAAAAGUUCAAACUCAACAAACCUCGUGGUUUUUCAUAUAGGAUGGAAAAACAUUACAUAAGACCCCGAAAGGGGUGUAGAUUUUCCCAAUAGGCUAGUUUAAGGCAUUAAAGUUGCAACAUCCCAAAUUUCACAAACCUUAUGGCUUUCACUUGUGUAUGCAAAAACAUAUUGUGAGCCUUGAAAGGUGCCUAAAAUUUUCUAAUAGGAUGAUAACAUUAAUUCCAUUAACCUUAUUAGAAAAUUUUGGGACCAUGAAAGGGCCUAAAGUUAUUUGGUAGGAUAAUUAAGACAUAGGUUGCAAAAGCCUAAAUUUCACAAACCUUAUGGUUCUUUCACAAGUAUGAAAACACAUUCAGUGAAGCCUUGAAUUGUGCAUGAAGUUUUGUGGAAGGCUAGUUAUGGUUUAUUGUAAAAACCACCAAUUCAAGAAACCUUAUAAUUUUUGUAGCCCUAAAAUUUGUAUAAAGAAGCCAAAUAGGCUAGUUGAGGCACCAAAGUUGCAAAAUCUCUAAUUAUUAAAUCCUUAUAUUUCUCAAGCUGAUAUAAAAAAGUUUUCUAUAAGGCCACGAAAGGUGCCUAAAGUUGUAUGGUAUACUAUAUUUAAGGAACAAGAUUUGUUAAGGCACCAAUUUCACAAAUCUUAUGGUUUUUCCCAUUGAAAACAUAUCGUAAGGCUACAAAAGGUGCUUGGUGUGUCAAAUGAGGCACCAAAGUUGCAAAAGCACCAAUUCCACAAUCCUUUUAGUUUUUUCUUAAGUAUGUAAAAACAUAUCAUAAGCCCUCUUAAAAAAUGUCUAAAGUUAUGCGAUAGGCUGUUUAAAGCACAAAAAAUGCCAAAUCACCAAUUUUACAAACCUUAUGGUUUUUGCACUGGUAUGGGCUAUAAAAUAUGCCUAAAGUUAUUCAAUAGGCUAGUUAAAGCACAAAAGUUACAAUAGGCCCAAUUCCACAAGGUAUGAUAUCAUAAUGCCCUAAAAAGUGCCUAAAGUUGCACGGUAGGCAAGUUAUGGAAAAAAUGUUGCAAAAGCCCCGAUUCCAUAAACCUAAUGGAAUUCGCACCAAUAGUAAAAAUGUACCGCAUAAAAGUUUUAAAAGCAUGAAUUCCGUAAACCAUAUAGUUUUCACAUUGGUAUUUAAAAACAUAUCAUAAGGCCACAAAAAAUGUCUAAGGUUUUCAGCAAGAUAGUUAAGGCACAAAGUUGUAAAAGCCCAAUUCUCACAAACCUUAUGGUUUUUGCACAUGUAUUCAAAAAAAAAUAAAAAUUAAGAGGCCUUAAAAGGUUUCAUUAGACUAGUGAAGGCAUAAAAGUUGCAAAAACUCCAUUUUAUAAUCCUUAUGGUUUUCUCACUAGUAUACAAAAAUAUACAGCAAAGCUUUGAAAGGUGCCUAAAGUUUUUUAGUAGGUUAUUUAAAGCACGAAAGUCGUCAAAGCAUCAAUUUCAUAAACCUUAUGGUUUUUGCAUGGGUAUGCAAGAAAUUCCAUGACGAGAGCCUUGUUCUUUUGGUUGAUUUACCAUAGGUUUGUUUGUGUAAAACCUAGAGCAACCCUAUAUUGCAUUGCAAGUCUUUUGUUUUAGGCCAUCUGAGUUGAGUUUAGGCCAUUGUUGUUCAAGGCAAUAAAAUUCAUUGAUAGUGAUUACUGAUAAAUCUAUAAAUUUAUUAGGAGCAUGUCUAAGACUAUUAAUGUAACAUCCCCAUAUCCGAGAUUAAGCAACAAUCUCAUGUCAACUAAUACACAGAGUAAUUUAAUAUGUGUAAGGUGUUCAUAUUAAAUUUUUACUGAAAUUUUCACUAAAAUUUCGGUAGAGUCUCCCCUACAUCGGGAAGUCCCAAGUUAUCGACAUUUAACCUGUUUAUACUUCUAAUAUUUCACAUCUCAUAACUCAAUCAUGACCCAAUCGUCCUGGGUCUCAAUCCCACAAACAUCAUCGUCAUCACAACCAUAAUAUUUAUAACAUACAUUGAACAACAAAUAUCAUUAUAGAGGAAUAAUGAGAUAAACAUGUAUACAUGGACACAUUCAUAUGAAAUUCAGAGUUAAGAUUAUCUAUUCAAGUUUAAACAUUAAUUAUACAAAUUAAGUUAUAUAAAAGUUGUAAUAUUACAAAAUACAAAGGUAUACUCCCUAGAACCUAGAAUUACAAAAAGUGAACAUAAGUUAGGAUCUACUCCUAUCGUGCAUGCGAGGGUCCUGAAACAAAAUAUGUAUUAUUGAAACAUGAAUAUCAAAAUAGAUAUAAUAACACAAAUAUCCAGCAAUUUAAAAAGGCAAACAUGCAUUCAUAUUUUAUUCACUUCUCCCUUCUGGUUUUCAUUGGAAACUCUUUCUUAUUCAACUAUUAAAAACCGUUUUCUCUUCCAUUAUCAACCUCCAUUCAAGAUUUCAUAAGAUCAACCAUGAUUAUUUCUGCUUAACACAUUACCGAAAAUAAUUUCACUGGUAUCAUCAUCACCCCGUAGGAGUCGAUGCAAGGUAAUCCCCUUCCCCGGGAUCCUGAUAUACACUAAAUAUAUGCUAGGCAAUACAUGGUGAUCCCCUUACCCGGGAUCCUAACAUACACUAAAUGUAUGCUAGUCCACGCCCUAUAUCACACUUCUCAUAUUUUCGUUGUCAGCCAUAAUUUCAUUGCUUAGAAAUUCACACAACAACCUUUCACCUCGAAUACACAUACAUUCAGAAUACUAUCUAAAAUAUCGACAUCAUUACACAACUUUCCUCCUUUCAUAUAAUAUCCAACAUUCGGUAAUUCACCUUUCACAUCAAUAACAUAUUAAAUUAUGGAAUUUAACUAGAAAGUAUAGGUGCGGAUCACCUACCUACAAUAGAAGCCCUACUCGUGCUCCCCUGCUGUUGUUGCUGCUGCACCACGCCUGUUGUCCCUCCUGCGAAUCACAUGUUUAUCUCAUAAAUUUUCCUCAUUCAAGGAUAUGUUUUAUAAUAACCAUAUCAAUAACCAAUAAGUCUUUCUUUUAAUCAUUUCUUUAUAUUUCACCAAUUAAUAUUGUCGUUCUUUGUCCAACCAUAGUUAUCAUUCCUUUCUUUAUAUUUGAACUGUUACUGUUUAAAUCUCGAACUAUUACUGUCUAACCGUUACUAUCUAGACAUUGGACAAUUACUAUCCAACCAUUACUGUCUUGAACUGUUAUUGUAUUGAACUGUUACUGUCUAGACAUUGAAUUGUUACUGUCAAGACAUUGGACUGUUACUGUCCAACUGUUACUGUCUAGACAUUGGACUGUUACUAUCCAACCAUUACUGUCUUGAACUGUUAUUGUAUUGAACCGUUACUGUCUAGACAUUGAACUGUUACUGUCAAGACAUUGGACUGUUACUGUUUAGACAUUGGACUGUUAUUGUCCAACCGUUACUGUCCAACCUCUCCUCAGAUUAUUAACUAUAUCCAGAGUUAUAGAACUCCGUUUCAAGCGAGAUUGGUCUCGUUAGAAAGCUAAAACUUGAGGCUACAAGUUCUCUGAAGGAAGGAGAACCCAGUUCUGCCCCCAAGAUAGUCAAAAUUGCUCAUCAACUAAUCAGUCCUACUGACCUAUAGGGUCUGUCAUGACCCAAUCUCGGUUGGUGACCCAUAACUGGAGUUCUAUAGCUCCAAAUUAAGCAUGGCCAAUUUCCUUAGUUAGUGAACAUCCAAAACUACAAUUUCUAUGAGGAACAUGUUCCUAAUUCCUUCAUCCUCCUACCCGAAAUCUCAUCGAAAGUUGGGAGAUGAGUUUGCCCAGAUUCGUCACCCCUUCCAUUCACACAUAACAUUCACAAACUACAUUUUUUGGGUAAAUUAUCAUGAUUUCAUGUCCCCAAAUCAUAUACAACACAUGAAUUAACUUAAUUUUAACAUCUAUUACAUUUUUUCCAAUUCAAGUCUAAGAACCCUAAUCUCUAAUUCAAAAUCAAGACAUCAAUUCAUAAUCGAAUUUGAAACGACUUAUAGGACCAUGAUUAGAACAUCUUACCUAGUAAGAAUCAAGGUUUUGAUCUUCAACCAGUCGAAGAUUUUCGACUCUCCCUUUUUCCUAUGGAUAGCCGGCACUCCCCUCUCUCUUUUGUUCAAAAUUUUCUUGUUAAUCCCUUGCCCCUAAGUGUUUAUUCUACGUAUAAACCCUUAAUCUUGGAUGAGUUCUUAAAAUUUGGUGUUUCUCUCUUGAUUUGCAAGAAUGGAUACAAAAACUCCUCCUUUUCUUUCCUUAUGGCUGCUGUAGAUUUUUGGUGAGGAGAUGAGUAUUUAUACUCUAUAAUUUCUCUUAUUUGCACUUAGGCCCCAUUUACUUUAAGUGUAUUAUUUUCUUCAAUUAAAUCCAACCCUCGACAUUACCGGGUUUAUUUAUAAUGUCUCGAAUUAUUUUGCUUAGAAAAUUAUAUUCAAAAACUUUCGAAUUCUUGUUUUUAUUUAAUCAUUUGCAUGAAUUUCUUCAUUUUAUUUCCCAUGUAGUUAGUUUGCAAUUUAAGAAACCUUUAUUUUUUCUCGGGGUUUACAAUUAUAACUUCUUCUUCUUCUUCUUCUUCUUAUAAUAAUAAAAAUAUUAUUCUUAAUAAAAAAAACUUAGAAAAAAGGCUAUCUGACUAGAAAAAUUUGUCAACUCCAAAAUCUCAUAUUUAUCAAUCUAGGAAAUUUAAUUUAUUAUCUCAUUAUGUUAUUAAGAUGGUAAACACUAUUCCAAUAACUGUAGAGUAUGACACCUUUAAUCUCCUCUUCUAAAAGUUCAUAUAUGAAUAUAAGAGCAAAUGUAAAUAUUUGGAUCUUAGACUUGUGUAAUUUUGCCUCAAACCUUUUACAAAGAUAGGAUUAAACACCUUUACACUAAUAGUGGUGAACGAAAUGAGGCAUAACAUGUUUAAAGACUCCAUAAAUGAGUUUAUAAAAUCUAUUUUGUGUGAUGGAUUAAUUUAUUCUCAUUCUAGUACAAAUGUCACGGUUUUCUUAUAUGAUCCAAUCAUUUAUGCAUGCUUUGCCUGUAAUUAUCAACAAAAACUAAAAAACUAGGAGACAAUCAUUGUUCAUAUGAAUAGUGAACCUACUACCUAGUUUGUUUUAUAUAAUUUUUAAAGUUUUUUUUCAAUUGCAUCAUUUUAUAGUCUAAUUAUAUGAAAUUAGGUUUGAAAUUAUAAUAGAAAUACAAAAUCAAAAGAUAAAGAACUAAAAUGUAAAACACGAAGAAAAACAUGACUUACCCAAAAUUCACAAUACUCUUUAUUUUGACCUAAAAGCUUAUUUUGUUUAUUUUUAUGUCCUUGAGUUAGAGAGAGAAGAGAGAAAGUUGCUGAAAAAUAGUGAAAGAGUGAAAUGGUUGAUUUUCACGAUUCCAACAACAAAAAUGGUUAAGUUGGUGUCAAUAGGUUCCAUUCGAUAAGGGAAGUUUAAUGAUGAUGAGUUUCUCCUGUAAACAUGUUUGAAAAAGAAGAUUAGAUUCCAUUUUUCUUUUUUGGUUGAGUUGAUUUUGGUUUUAUUGGGUGAUUUUAUGGUAUUUUGAGGUUAGUAAGUGAUUUAGAAAGGCUUUUAUAAAGUUUAUCAGGUGUUUUUGUGUGAAAAUACAUUAAAAAAUGAAUUUUUAACCCAAAAAACCCUAUCCCAAGAUUUUUCGACCAUCAUAGUGGUGAUAGAAUUCUAAGAUGGGAAUAGAAAAUGACAUGGUCUACCCCUAGCUGGCGACAUGUCACUUGUUUAUUUAAAAAAUAAUAAUAAAGGGAGGACAACAUAUCACUUGCCCUUUACAAAAUAAAUAAAUAAAUAUGGCCUAGGAUUGCGGGCCUCACCCAGGCCCUGACACGCUAGGCUACUUAGGCUUACGCGUCUGACCUGACCUGUUUUUUUUAGAUAAAAAAACCUUUAACAUUCUAUUUUUGAUGAUUUUUUUUAUUGUUUUUUCUUCAUUUUUAUCAUUUAAUAUUGUGUUGAUUUUGAACUGGUCUUUAUUUUUUAUCAUAUAACUAACAAAGAAAUAUUAUUGAACCCAUUGGAGUCCAUAAUCAAGGUCACGAGUUUGAUGAAUUAACCAAGGUUGAUCAAAAUUGAUUCAAUAUGUCAUCGUUUCAAUGUAAAAAAAGAAAGAUAUCAACUUCAAUUUUUUUAAAAGUCAAACUGGUUUUUACCGGUCAUACAGGUUGUCGUUGAACCUAUACAUUUGGUCUUUGUUUUUUUUCUCCAUUGAUUUUUUUGUUUUAUCUUUGGACCUGUGAAGUUGAUUGGAUCACAUCAAGGCAACUCUUACAUGAUUUAAUUUGAAACCUGGACUUGACUUGUUGGACCGAGUUUAAUGACAAUAUCGAAGAAUUCCUUGUAUCUUGGAUUUCUUUUUUGCAUUUAAGUUUUUUUUGUUCAACUCACAGCAUAGCGAAAAGUAAACUAGUAAAGACUUUAAAGGGUAUGAUAUGAUGCAUGAAUCACAUAAUUAUUGAAUUUGCUAUAAAAUUACGAGUGCUACAAUCCCUUUAAAGUUAUGAAUGCUACAGUGUUUAAAGAGAGGAGCGUACUACUCUUUUUGCGAAAUUAUAUGCUCCUAGUUAUUCUAUAUCAGAAAUAUAUAACGUAACAUCUAUUAGCGCUUCAAGAGAACAAACCUUAAAACAACUCCAACACGAAAUUAAUUCUCUAAAAAGAAAAUUACAAGAGCUAAAAGGCCUAAGGCAAAGUAAAUUCUGUAUGAAAAAAUGUCUUUAGCAAAUGAAACCUUUUCUAAUUUAGAAAAAGAAUCUAAAAAAUAAAGGAGGUUUCUAAUCCUAAUAAGAAUUAUAUUAGCAGUCUUCAAAGACUAAAUUAGAAUAGGUUUCUAAUUGAAAGGGUUUAUGGCAAAAAUGUAUUACUGAAAAUUACUUUGAUAAUUAAUAAUGAUUUUAGUUUAAAAACUAAAUCUUUUAUUGAUUCUAAGGAUAAUCUUAAUUGCAUUCGUGAAGGAUUAGUUUCCAUAAAGUAUAUGUCCAAAACUACCUGAAUAAUAAUCACCACUAAUAAGCAAAGUUUGCUUAUAGAGUACAAACUCUCUAAUGCAAAAAUAUACUGCAAUGAAAUAUGUAUUCCUAUUCCUUUUGUUAUGAUAAAAGGUAUAGGGCAAAAAUUAAUUCAUAGAAACCUAUUUCUGCAUAGUAUAACUACUUAUUAUACUAUUGAUAAGGGUAUUACUUCAUAAAUUCAAGGAUUUCUAAUUUCUGCAUGCAAGAUAUUCAGUAUACCAUACCAAAUUAAUCUCUUAUCGGAGAUAAUAGAAACAAAAGAAAACUUUCUUAAUUCUUUGAAGGAUGAAGUGACAAUUAAAAGACUAGCUAAUUAGCUAGAAUCUCUUAAAAUUAAGGAGAAAAUUGAAUUUACCAAUCAUUAAAGAAACUAGUUACUUGACCCACACUCCAUCACGGGUCAAUGUUUUUUUUAAAAGCUAGGAAUGUAGGCUAUUUUGAUAUGUUUUUUAUAUAAAAAAAUUCAAAGUAUAAAUUGAAAAGCUUAUGCAAGCAUUUAAUCAACUAAAUCAAUAAUCAUCUAUGUAAAUAAACAAAAAAAAUCAUUAACAAUAAAUAAAAGAGAAACUGAAAAAAUUAAGAGAUGGAUGUAGGUCGAGAUAUUUGAUCUUACAAAUUGAGACAUUUACUAGUUUGUGUCUAGUGAAUUUGUUUGUUAGAAUCGAUAAAAGAUAGAAAUAGAAACACAUACGAAACUGAUUGAAUAAAUAAAAUAAAAAAUAUUUUUUUAUAAAAUAAAGCUCAUUUGUAUAUAAUAAAAAAAAUUCUUCAAAUAUUAAAUACAAAAAAAACUAAAAAAAAACUCUAUUUAAAAAAGUCCUACAAAAUCCACGGUCUAGGUCAUGAGACUGAGAUAAACCGAUAAAGAAGAAAAUAAAUGAUGUAAAAUCAUAAAAGAAAAUGAGAAAAAAAGAUCCUGAACCGCAUAAACUUUUCAAACUUGUUACCCGUUAGAUUGGAAGCACGAUAAAUGAAAAAACUACGAAGCACAUUCCCCCAACAAAUCAAAUGCUGAAGGAUAAAACUUGAAAAAAAAUCAAUCUCACAAAAAAAUAUGAUUAAAAGAAUGAGGGUGAAAAUGAAAAUAAAAAAUAAAUUAGAGGGCAUCGAAAAAAUUUAAAUUGGAGAGUUAAAUUGAAAAGAAAAAACUUUAACAACAAGAAAAAAAUCGAAAGAAUGAGGGAUAAAUUAAAAACAAUAAAACAACAUAAAAUUUGAUUGAAGGAUAAAAUUAAAAACCAACAAAAAAUUAAUAAAAGAGCCAAGGGAAAAAAUCAGAAAUCAAAAGAAUAAGGACCGAAUUGAAAAAAAUAAUAUAUGACAAAUUGUAACUGAAUGACUAAAUUAAAAAUAUAAAGUAAUUUUAUAAAAGGACCAAAGAUGAAAAAAAGCAAUAAAAAACAUAGGGACUAAAAUUAAAAAAUCUAAAGAAAAGAGGAUAGAUGUGCACUUUCUUUGGAAGAGAGGAAAAAAAAGAAAAAAAAGGAAAUGACCGCCGACAACAAAUCACUCAUCAUUUGUUGCCAUGCGCUGUCUUAUAAGGAAGAGGACACGUUGGGGCUUUUAAAAACACGACAGAAAGGUAGGUUUGGCCACCGUAUGGUGUCACACGCUCCAACAGCUUUUUUGAAUAAAAAAAUAUUUUUUCAAAUGAAAAAUACUAGAAUACCCUCCAUGAACCUAAGAAUUACAAAAAAAAAUCUUGAAAGGACUUAUAUGCCCCCAGGGUCAUGCCUUGAUUUAUCUUUUCUGAGGGUAAAAAUGUAUUUUUAAUGUACUCUAAUAAAUGAAAAGUCGGAAAGGCUCUUGGUCAACAACUCUAAUUUUUUUACAUGAGGACUAAAUAAGUAUUUUUAACAUUUUAAAAGUUUUUGAAUAGACUAAAUAACCCUUGAUCAUAUCUCUAGAUUUUGUUGACUUUACGAGUAAAAAUGUGUUUUCACUAUGCAAAAAAAUGAAAAAGACUAACAUACCCUCGAACAAUCUUCUAAUGUUCAAUGGACCUAUGGAAAAGACUAAACUACUCUCAAAACAAAGCCUCUCAUUUCUUUCUACAUAAAGGCAAAAUGAUAAUUUGACUGUAGCAAUCCAUAAUAAAUUAUGUCUAUAGCUGCAGUGAAGCUCCUACAACCUAUAAGGUUUAAGUUAAUUUGUGAUGAAGUUCGAAAUGCAUUUUGGAAUAUAAAACAACAAAUAGUUUUAAUGAGAGAAAUAUCUCCACCAAACCUUAACCCAUUCCUAUGAAUACUCGUCAUUUAGAAAUUUGUAAAAAGAGAUCGAGGAACUCUUACAGAAGGUGUGUGUGCACACAAGUCAUAGCCUAUGGAGUUGUCCGGUAUUCUAUAUGGAAAAUGAUAUUGAACUCGAAAGAGGAGUUUCAUGAUUAGUGAUAAACUAUAAACCACUUAAUAAAACACUGGAUUAAAUAUCAUAUUCUUAUUAAGAGGGAUCUUUUAAAUAGGCUUAAUAAAGCCAAAAUCUUCUCUGAAUUCAAUAUGAAAUCUGGGUUUGGUAAUGUGCUAGUCUCUAAUUAAUUGAUGAACACUUCAAGCACUUCAAUGCCUUUAUCAUGGCUAUUAAAGUGGUUGGUUUAGUAGUUUCAGCUAAAAAGGUGAAACUAUUUUAUAUAAAAGUCAUAUUUCUGGGGCAUUAUAUUCAAACUAGGUUUAUUGAGCCCAUUGAAAGAGCGAUCUAGUUUGCUAACAAAAUCCCCAAUAAAAUUAAAGACGAAACUGUGUUGUAACAAUCUUUGGGUUGUCUGAACUAUAUUUCAGAAUUUUAUCAACAUUUGGCCUAAGAUUGUUAAUCUAUUAUCCCAAAAACUAAAGAAAAGCUCUUCAUAAUGGAAUUUUAGGCAUAUUAGAGCAAUUCAAAAGAUCAAAGCUCGUGUAAAAGAACUUCCAUGUCUAUGCCUAGCUAAUCUAAAAGCCUUCAAAAUUGUUAAAACAUAUGGUUCUUAAAUUGGCUAGGGGAGUGUCUUGAAACAAAAGGGUUAAGAGAAAAUAACUAUUAGUUAGGUUCAUAAUUGGUGCAUGGAACCUUAUCUAACAAAAUUAUUCAAUGCUAAAAAAAAGACCUUAUCAAUAGUUCUUUAUGUUUCUAAGUUUCAGGAUGAUUGGAUCAAUAAGCAAUUCUUAUUAAGAGUUAAUUAUGAAUCUACAAAAGAUAUCCUAAUCAAGGAUGUUAAAAAUAUUUUUUUUCUAAAUAAAUAUUUGCUAGAUGGUAAGCUAUCCUCUUUGUGUUUAAUCUCGGCAUUGAACACUUAAAUGGAUAUUUAAACAAUCUUCUAGAUUCUCUAAUGUGAGAAUUAUUACAAGGAUUUUAAGUUAAAAACAUAGUUGCAAGCAACUCGCGUUGUAGGAACAGAAGCCUUAAUCUAAAGAGCAUUUCGUCAUACGAAUCAUCUUUUAAUAAGAAGAAUCCAUUAAAAGAUAAGACAUUUUUCUAAAGAAGUUUAUAAGGUUGCUAUUCCACUAACUACCUAGAAGGAAUAUAAAUAUCCUUAAAUUUCCCUGAAUACAAUGUUCAUUUUUCUAAUUGAAGAAAGAUUAUUAGCAAUUCCUUUAAAAGAAGUACAUGGUAUUGUCUUUAAUGAUCACUUUGUCACGUUAUGUUGUCACACUCAUACAUAAAUAGAACUCUCUAGCAUAAAGUGGGAGAAUAUAUGAAAAAUUGGAAUCGCCAUUUAGUAAUUAGAGAAAUCCUAAAGAUUAGCAUUAGUUCUAGAGAUUAAAGUAAGGGGCUAGUUAUACUUAUGGGAAGAACGAUGUUACCCUUACCGCAUCCUUUCUCACAAAAGAUUACUUUUACUAUGUGUUUUCUCCUAAAUCUAUCUUUUUUAUUGCCAUUAAUAAUCCUAAUUAUUUUCUAAGCUUAUUUACAAUUAUAUUUUAAUUUAUUUCUAAUUAUUUGUGAAAAAUUUGAUGUUGUUCCCUAAAAAUAGGAGACUCGUCGAUUAGGCUUUUCGUGAAAAUUUUGACAUCAAUCCCUUAAAAAUGACACUUGUCGAUUGGAGAUUUCAUGAAAACUUUGACAUUGGUCCAUUUAAAAUAGAAGACUUGUUGUUUAGACCAUUUAAAAACUUGGACAUUGGUCCCUUAAAAAAAAACUUGUCAAUUAGUCCAUUUGUGAGAAUUUUGACAUCAAUCCGUUAAAAAAAAGACUUGUUGAUUUGGCUAUGCAUGAAAGAUUUUAACAUCAGUCCCUUAAAAAGGUAGACUUAUUGAAUUGAUUAUUUCUAAAAUGAGUAUUAGAUCCAUAGAGAUGAUAAACUUUGAAUUAAGCUUGGCCCAUUCACUUUGGUUAAUUUUAAAAACAAACCCAAAGGCCACCACUAUCACUUAAUGGGUAUUAGAGUUGACCCAACCCAAAGUAUUAUAUUAUGUUUGCAAAAAAUAUUACAUAAUAUAAAAAAUAAAUUUACAUGAAUAAAAUCAUUUUUAUUCAUUUUUCUUAAUUUUAAAGUUUUAGUAUUUUUUUUAUGAGAAUGCUAUUACUAAAAAUAUUUAGAAUCACACAACAUACAUAAAUCAAGUUCAUGCAAAAACAUAUCGACAUACAUGAAAUUAAACGCAUGAAUAACAUAAAUAUUCAUUUAGGGGUUUGAAAUCUACAUUCAAGGUAGAAAAACAUAAAUGAAUGUUGGAAUAUCCUACUGGCCAUGUGGCGUGCAUGUGGCUAACGCAUUAACUUGUUGAAUUUUAUGUAUUGGAACAUGUGUGUUCAUCAUGUAACAGCCAAAUAUACCUUCAAAAGGAUAUUCAAAACUUAUGAAACUCGACUUGGCCCAAUACGUUGACUUGAACCCCGAAGACCCAGGGCCUUGGUGGAGUCUCAAACGACAAAAACCCAAAGGGCAAUUGGCUUGGUCAGACCUUGGUGACCCUCUAGGUCAACCCAAAACUAGGGUGACACAACGUAACCUAGGUGAGACCGGUUUUUUUUUAACAUUUUUUUUAAUAAACCUAAAAAAUUAUCAAAUUAAUUUUUGAGUACUUAGCCUUACAUUUUUUUUUAUAGCCUACUUCCACGUGAAUUUUUUAUUAACUUUUUAUGUGGGAUAACUAUAUAUAGCCUACAUUUACAUGGAUUGUUUCUUAGCUUUCUGAUAUGAGAUAACUAUAUUACACUUCAUGUCUCACAUUUCUUUUUUAUAGCUUACAUCCACAUAGAUUUGUUUUAAAAAACUUUUGAUGUGGAAUUUUUAAUGUUGGAUAAUUAUACUACAUUUCAUACCUCACAUCUUUUUAUAAUCUAUAUCCACAUGAACUGUUUCUUAAUUUUUUAAUGUGGGAUAAUUAUAUAGAGCUUAUAUUUUCUUAAUAAACCCAAAAAAUAUAUAAUAAUUUAUUAAUAAUUUUCCCCACAUAUCUUUUUUUAUAGCUCGCAUCCACAUGAAUUGUUUCUUAACUUUUUAAUAUGAGAUAACUUUAUAUAGCCUAUAUUCAUAUGAAUUGUAUCUUAACUUUUUGAUUUGGGAUAACUAUACUACGUUUCAUGCCUCACAUUUCUUUUUUAUAACCUACAUUCAUAUGAAUUGUUUUCUUAACUUCUUGAUGUAGAAUAACUAUAUAUAGUCUACAUUCAUAUGGAUUAUUUCUUAACUUUUUGAUGUAGGAUAACUAUACUACACUUCAUGCCUCACAUUUCUUUUAUAGCCUACAUCUACAUAGAUUUUUUUUAAAAAAAAUUCUUGAUGUGGGAUUUUUAAUGUGGAAUAAUUGUACUACAUUUCAUGCCUCAUAUUGUUUUCUAGCCUACAUCCACAUGAAUUGUUUCUUAAUUUCUUGAUAUGGGAUAACUAUAUAGCCUAUAUUUUUUUAACAAACCCAAAAAAUAUAUAAUUAAUUUAUGACUACUUUGCCCCACAUAUCUUUUUUUAUAGCCUGUAUCCAUAUAGAUUGUUUCUUAACUUUUCAAUAUGAGAUAACUUUAUAUAACUUACAUCCACAUGUGUUGUUCCUUAACUUUUAAUAUGAGAUAAUUAUACUACACUUUGUGCCUCACAUUUUUUUUUUUAUAGCCUACAUCCAUAUGAGUUGUUACUUAACAUUUUGAUGUGGAAUAACUAUAUGUAACCUAUAUUCAUAUUGAUUGUUUCUUAGCUUUUUAUUUUUUAUUUUUUAAUAUUAUUAUAUUAUUAUUAAAUAUAUGGCAUGAGCCCGGUCCAACCAACUAGGCUGGACCAAGCCGGGUUAGGCUGACUGGCAGCCCAACAAGCUUCUCUCUCUCUUUUCUUUAUUUAUUGGGCUGGAAUGGGUCCUGCCCAUCUUCACAUAAUCACUAGCCCAACCUACUAACCAUGUGAAUUGGUUAAUUUUUGUAUGCAAAACCAAUGUUUUGCAUGUAAAUGGCUGCCCCAUUUUCAGCCAAAAAAGGGGAAGAAAAAGGUUACCAGUUGUGGGGGAUUGCUGGCCGACAGUGCUGGGAAGGCCGAUGUGCUGUUGGUGGCGGCGCUGGCAACGGAGGCACGACAAAAGAAGAGGAACAAAAUGGCUGGCAAAGAAAAAGAAAAAAUAUGGUAAGAAAAGCUAAUUUUUCUCUAGCUUUGGGCUCUCAUUUCUUCUCCCUCAGUGCAUGGAAUCCACCCCUAUUUAUAGGGGGUAGAAGAGAGACACUUUGUCUCUUUUGGGAACAAAUCUUGGUCCUUGAUUUGAACCGGAAGGAUCUUAACCAUUGGUUGAAAGUGGCAAUCAUAGACUAUCAGAUUUUGACAACUCAAGGCUGCAUGAGUUGACCACUUUAGGAUUGCGUCGAGGUUGCUGUGAUGUUAAUCGACCAGAAAAAACCAUAUCGGGGUAUGGUCGAUUGUCAUGCCAUCAUUUUCGUGUAAGUUUUGUCAAAUUUAGUGGAUAGAUGAAGCAUUAAAUGCCCCUAAAAAGUAGUCCCUGAGUAGUCAUUUCGGGCUUAAAUGAAGAAGAUAAACAGUAACCAGACGAUAAGUUGUCUGGUUAGUCUUUUUUUUUUACUGUUUGGGUAAAAAACAGCGCUGUUUUGGUCAAAACAUGCCAUUUCAUUUAAAUGAAACGAUGCCAUUUUGGCUUUUGAGGUUUUAAUUUAGAGAUUUGGGUAAAGUUCAAUUUGGUCAUCUAACUUUUAAUUUCUUUCAAUUACACCCCUAAUUGACCCUAAACUUCCAAUUUUAUACAAUUUUGCCUUUGCCGUAACGCCUUUUUCACAAUAGUUCUUGGUCUUGGAUUUAUGCAAUUUGACCCUCAAUUGACCAUUGCAUUUUUAAUUUUCUUCAAUUUAAUCCCUGAUUUCAAUCAAUUGAGUCCUCAUAGUUCUGCGCCUUUUACAAAAUGGUCAUUGGCUGCGAAUUUCUUCAAUUUAACUCCUAAUUGACACCAAAACUUUGAUUACUUUUUUUAUGAUUUUACCCCUAAUUUGAACCAAUUGACUUCGUAAAAAUUUAGUUUGGUCUCCUAAAAUUUCAAUCUUCUCAAUCAAGGUCAAAUUAGGCUUCCAAACUUAAUUUUUCACCAAUUAAACCCCUAAUAAAAUUAAUUUGACUCAUUUAAGGUAUAAUUAAGUCCUUGCACCUAGUUAAACCCUUUAAUUGGACCCAAAUUAAUUUUUAAAUAUAAUUAAACUUUAAUUUAGUCCAUUAUUAAAAUCAAAUUGGCAUAUUAAAAAUAUAUUUAUGUCCUUAGAUUUAAUUUUUAUGCAGAUUAUUCCAAUAAUAAUUUAAUUCGACCUUGAAUCUGCAUUGUCUUUUCAGUUUUAGAUAUAAUAGGGUAAAAUUAUGCUUCUGAUUCCAUCCAAAAUUACAGCUUGAUUUGAAAUCCUUUCUCAACCAGCUUUUUUCACGACACCAAUCGCCUUGCUAUUAUGAUUUUAUUUUUUAUUUUUAUUUUGAAAAGAAAAAAGUAAAAAGUUUGGGGAAUAACCCAAAAAUGGGUUAUAACAAUCCACAUGAAUUGUUCUUAAUUUUUUGAUGUGUGAUAACUAUAUAUAGCCUACGUUUUUUUAAUAAACCCAAAAAAUAUAAAAUUAAUUUAUGAAUUUUGAGCCUCACAUAUUUUGUUUUAUAGCAUACAUCCAAAUGAAUUGUUUCUUAACUUUACGAUGUUUGAUAACUAUAUAUAGUCUACUUCCACAUUGUUUUUUAAUUUUUUGAUAUUGAAUAACUAUACUACACUUCAUGCCUCAUAUUUGUUUUAUAGCCUAAAUCCAUAUAGAUUGUUUCUUUAUUUUUUGAUGUUAGAUUUUCAGUGUCGGAUACUUAUACUACACUUCAUGCCUCGUUUUUGUUUAUAACGUACAUCCAUAUGAAUUAUUUUUUAAUUUUUUCUUGCGGGAUAACUAUAUAUAGCCUAUAUUUUUUUUAAUAAACCCAAAAAACAUAAAAUUAAUUUAUGAAUACUUUGCCCCGCAUAUCUUUUUUUAUUGCCUAUAUCCACAUGAAUUUUUUUUAUUUUUUUUUAUUGUGGGAUAACUAUAUAUAGCCUACAUUUGUUUUUAAUAAAGCAAAAAAUAUAUAAAAUUAAGGGAUAGUUAUACUAUACUUCAUGCUUAUAUAUUUUUUUUAUAACCUACAUUUACAUGAAUUAUUUUUUAUUUUUUUUAUAUAGAAUAACCAUAUUAUAUUUUAUGUCUUUUAUUUUUUUUAAUUUAUAUUUACAUGUAUUGUUUUUUAAUAUUUUUAUAUAAAAUAUUAAAAUUUCAAAUAUAAAUUUUUUUGUUUUACCAUGUUGACAAGGGACGAAGUCCCCUUUCUCAGACCCGGAUCAACACCGAUGCCGAGUUUAAUAACUAUGCUAGGAACCAAGUCAAUAAUAUAUCGAAGAAGCUCCGACUUCAAAAGGAAGUCUCUAGACCCUGAACUAUGAAUUCCAACGAUACCUUCUUAACGACAUAGCUGUUAAUUUUAGCACCAACGUAAUCAAGUGCUCUAUCAUCUUAUUCUUUGUGGUCAAGAAGCUCCUUCUCGUGAGUAUCGUUGUGUCUAUCUCACUUAUUAUUUCUACAAAAAAACAAACAAACACAGAUUUGUGAAAGUAAAAUGAAAAGGUGGAUUUAGGAGUUUAGGGUUAGUGUUUGUUGCUGUUGGUUUUUUUAAAGGAAUCAGGGUUGUUGCGGGUUGAGAGGAAGGUGAUGAAGUCUGUGGGUUUGUGAUGGUAAUUUGAGAGAGUUAUUGGUUGUGACUGAAAUCCUAUUGAAGGUGGUUUGGUGGUAGCUAUAUGGUUAAGGUUUGUUGGUGGUGAUGAGGAACUGGUGGUCUCGGGUAGAGACUGAUUUGGUGGUUUGUAAGGGAGAACGAUGGGUUUUGGGCACGAAAGAGAUUGAAUGGGAGAGGGGUAAACAGGGGACCAUGUUUGUGGGUUGUUGGUCAAUGAUGGAUGGUUUUUGGAGUGGCUAGAAGAAAAGAGAGGGGUUGUAGUGGUUCGACUAGGACUGUGUGGUGGCUGAUUUUGGGUAUGGUUGAAAGGCUGCUAUGAUGAGUAGUUUCAUUUUUUAGAGUGAUUGAUGCUGAGGGUGAGGGCUGCUACUAGAAGAGAUGGAGGACAAGUUUUGGAUAUAGCAAGAGGGUUAUGAAGAUGACUUGAUGGCUAGUUGGUAAGGGACAUGAUAGGUAAUUGGGUCUAUUAUAAUGGUUAUAGCAGUGGGAAAGCGUUCUGUGUGGACGUGGUGGUCAAUGGUCGAACUUGUCAAGUGUUAGGCCACGUCGAUUAUGUGAGGAGCAUUAAGCCAAAUCCCACAUAUUUGGAUGAGCAGAGGACGUGCGGGACCAUUGCAUGAGCAUGCAUGCAUGCAACGUGGGAAAGGGAUGGACUGGGUCGUGGAGGUUAACGUGCAGAAGUGCAGCAAGAAAUGGUCUUCAAUCAUUGCGAGUUUUACGUCAUUUUAUUUCCGUUAUGAUUGUUCUGUUUUUCACUUUGUUAAUUCUCUGUUUUAUGUGGGUUGAGUCCAUUUGAUUACUGUUAAUUUUCCUUGUAAUUCGACUUAUUUGUUUGUUUGGAUGGGGCUUACUUAUUUAAGCAGCCAAUGCUUUCGUUAAAAUAUAAGAAAAAUUUGCAUUCAACUUGUGAUGCAUUUCUCACCCAAAGAGAAAAUAAACUUUAUUAGCACUUUACACUUUGCAUUUGGGACCUAUCAUUGGUAUCAAAGCCUGGUUGUCAAAGGGGAACUAACAAGGAGCGUAUUGAGCACUUGAAGUCUGAACUUAGUGUAGUUCAGGAAGGACUGCUGCAAAUGGAGGAAACACUCAAUCGACUUUCGACUAUGUUGAUCACAAAUCAAGAGACUCCUAACCACGGCAACCAUCAAGGCAACGAUGGGGGUCAGCAAAUCGUCUCUGCCAAAACAACGAAGCUAGAAUUCCCACGAUUUAUGGGGGAUGACCCAACCGAAUGGUUCAACCGUGUGCAUCAAUUUUUCGAAUACCAAGGCACGGCAGAAGCCCAGAAGGUUUCCAUGGCAGCAUACCAUUUAGAAGGGGAGGCUAACCAAUGGUGGCAAUGGAUUCGUAGGACAUUUAGGUACGAAGGACACGUGCUUUCAUGGGAGAAAUUCAAGGAAGAACUCUAGGCUCGCUUCGGACCCUCGGAGUGUGAGGACUUCGACAAAGCUCUUUCUCGUGUCAAACAGCUAGGAAAUUUGCAAGACUACCAGUGCGAGUUUGAAAAGCUCGGCAACAGGGUCCAAGGAUGGACUUAGAAGGCAUUGGUGAGAACAUUCAUAGGCGGGUUGAAGGCAGAAAUAGCGGAUGGUAUUCGAAUGUUUAAGCCAUAGUCACUCAAAGAGGCCAUUACCUUAGCACGGAUGAGGGACGACCAACUCGCACGACAAAGGAGGUUCAUGCAGCUACUAUCUGAACGAGCUCCGUUUGCUCUUCCAUAAACCACUCGUGAGCCUGCUACACUUGCGGGACCCAUCAAACGCUUGUUUUGGGAAGAAAUGCAGAGGAAAAGAGUAUAAGGCCUCUGUUUCAGCUGCAAUUAGCGUUUUACAACAGGCCAUAGAUGUCAAAAGCCGCAGCUGUUACUCUUAGAGGGUCAUACAUGUAACAUGAUGUGUGAGGACAUUAUGGAUCAACAGAUGCUAGAAGAUGGCCAUGAGGGAGAUACAUUAGUGGUGUAGGAACCUAAACUUGAACCGAAAAUAACCUUGCAUGCUUUAACGGGCUGGACAGCAUCGAAAACCAUACGUGUAUCGGUAAAAAUAGGGUCACACAAAGUAAUGGUUUUAAUUGACAGCGGAUCGACACACAACUUCAUCAGCAAUCGCUUAGCAAGUAUGCUCAGGUUGCCAGUCAUACCAACAAAAUCAUUCCAUAUCCGGGUGGCUAACAUGGAGGGAUUAACAUGUCAGGGGCGUUACGAUAAGGUAUGGGUAGAGUUACAAGGCACCGAAUUUUACCUCACCCUUUUCUCUUUGACCUUAACAGGUCUUGAUCUUGUCUUGGGCAUUCAAUGGUUUAAAAUGCUGGGAUCUAUGGUAUGUAACUGAAAACAGUUGGCCAUGGAUUUUAUUUGGGAAAAUCAAGACCGUAGGCUACAAGGAGUGGAUGUGCAAACCAUUCAGGCAGUUUCACCAACAGAAAUAGCGAAGGAGUUUAGUCGUGGACAUGCGCUCUUUGCUGUGUAUUUCCAAUCAACCAUGGAAACCGCACCACCUGAAUUACCAACUCAAGAUGAAAAAUAGAAUAUGCACUUGUUGUUGAAGGAAUAUGCAGACGUGUUCCAAGAGCCAUCAAGAUUACCACUUGCACGUGAGGUGGAUCAUUGUAUUACGUAAAAGAAGGAAGCCUAUUAAUGUACGCUCGUAUAAGUAUGCCCACUUCCAGAAAACUAAAAUCGAGAAAUAGGUCCAGGAAAUGCUAGACUCGGGACUCAUCCGUCCUAGCACCAGUCCAUUCUUGUCGCCGGUGCUACUGGUAAAGAAGAAAGAUGGCAGUUUGUGAUUUUGUACAGAUUACCGUUCACUCAAUGUCGUUACCGUCAAACAUCGUUUUCCCAUUCCAACAGUUGAUGAUAUGUUGGAAGAAUUAUAUGGUGCCGCUUACUUCACCAAAUUAGAUCCGAUGUUAUUAAAAUUGUUUUUCGUACUCAUAACAGCCAUUACGAAUAUCUCGUAAUGUCUUGUGGCUUGUGUAACGCACCCUCGACAUUCCAAGCCAUCAUGAACUCAAUAUUUUAACCUAACCUUUGAAAGUUUAUUUUGGUCUUUUUUUAUGAUAUUUUGGUCUAUAGUUCUACUUGAAAUGAGCAUCUAUUGCAUGUUAGACAAACAUUGGAAACUUUAUGACAACACCAAUUCUUUGCCAAGGCCAGCAAGUGCAUGUUUGGCCAAUAGGAACUGGAAUACUUGGGGCACAUUGACACACAUCAGAGAGUGAAGGUUGAUAACAAUAAAAUUGCAGCCAUGGUUAUAUGGCCACCCCUCACUAAUAUUUCUGAGUUAUAUGGUUUUUUAGGCCUAACAGGAUAUUACAGGAAAUUCAUUCAAAACUACAGCAUCAUAGCAAGACCCCUGAACAAUCUGCUUAAGAAGGGAAAAUUUGGUUGGAAUGAAGAAGCCAACACAGCCUUUCUAGCUCUCAAAUAAGCAAUGACAACUACGCCUACAUUUGCUACGCCUGAUUUCAAUGACUUUUUCACCAUUGAAACCGAUGCAUAUGGGGACAGAAUUGGCGCAGUUUUGUCACAACAAGGUAAGCCGAUAACGUUUAUGAGUUGAGCAUUGGGGGUUACAAAAAAAUCCUGGUCUACUUACGCCAAUGAGAUGUUGGCCAUUGUGGAGGCCAUACGUUUAUGGCGUCCUUAUCUCUUGGGAAAAAAAUUCUUCAUUCUUACUGACCAUUGUAGUUUGAAAUAUUUAUUGGAACAACGUGUGGCUAUGCCUGAACAACAGAAAUGGGUGAUCAAGCUUCUGGGCUACGAUUAUGAGAUUAUUUAUCGUCUAGGCCAUGAGAAUUCAACAACGGACGCUCUCUCACGCAGGUCUGGUAGUCCAGUUCUUCACCAUUUGCAUAUGCCAAUAGUGACCAUAUGGGAUGAAAUUCAAAAGGCUUAUGUGAGAGACUCUUACAUCCAAUCUCUAACUUGUUUGUCCAAGGAUCAACAAGCUGGACCGUAUGCAUGGCGUAAUGGGUUGCAGUUCUUUAAAGGAAGAGUAAUCAUUCCUUCUCAGGCAGCAUUAUGAUCACAAUUACUUCAUGAAAUGCACGAUACAAAAAUUAAAGGACACUCUAGGGUCUUCCGAACGUUCAAGAAAUUAGCUUAACAUUUUAUUGGCCUAAAAUGUACCAGGCGGUGCAAAAGUAUGUCAAAAAAUGUGAUAUUUGCCAGAGGGUGAAGUUUGAAACAUUGUCUCCAGCGAGGCUCCUGCAACCGUUACUAGUUCCAUGUCAAGUCUAGGACGACAUCACCUUAGACUUCAUUGAAGACCUACCGACAUCCCAAGGCAAAGACACAAUCUUAGAAGUUAUUGACCGUUUGAGUAAGUCUGCUCCUUUUCUAUCCUUAACUCAUCAUUUUACUGCUAAAGUCGUUGCAUAACGGUUUGUAGAAGGCAUCAUUAAAUUGCGUGGCUUACCCAAGUUUAUCGUCAGCGAUCGGAACCCCAUCUUUAUCAGCAAAUUCUGGCAAGAGUUUUUUCACAUGUCCGGCACCAAACUACAACUCAGUUCCACCUAUCAUCCGCAGACGGACGGACAAAUAGAAGUUGUUAAUCGCUGUGUUGAGCAAUACCUCCGGAGUAUUGGAGCAACUACCUUCUAUGGGCUGAGUUCUAGUACAAUAUAACUUAUCAUGCGUCCAUUGGGAUGACCCCUUUUUAAGCACUAUAUUGGACGCUUACCUCCUGCAUUUCCCAUUUACCAUAAUGGGUGUUCUUUCGUUCAGGAAGUAGACCACAGUCUAGAGGUUCGCGACAAGCUGUUGCGUCAACUCAAACGCAAUCUGGAGACUUUCAUUAAUCGCAUGAAGCAAAUUGCAAAUAAAAAAUGUCGGGAUGUUUCUUUCAAAAUUGGGGAUUUGGUGUUUCUGAAGCUGCACCCUUACAGGCAACAGUCCGCCUUCAAACGCGCCCACCAGAAGCUAGCUAAUCGCUUCUACGGCCCAUACCUAGUGAUACAAAAAAUUGGGUCCGUUGCAUACCUUCAUAUGUCGGACGGUGCCCACAUUCAUCCUGUCUUCCACGUCUCGCUCUUAAAAAAGUACGUUGGUGAGUCUGCAACACCUUCAAAAGAAUUGCCAUCCGUUACCGAUGAUGGGGUGGUUAUACUCGAACUUCAGCAUAUCCUGGACACUCGUUGGGUCAAACGAGACAAUAAAUUUAAAGAAGAAACUUUGGUACAAUGAAAGCAUCUACUAGUUGAGGAUGCCACAUGGGAGACCUAUUAGUCUUUACUUGAGCGAUUUCUUUUUGUGGACCUUGGGGACAAGCGUCCACUUAAUAGGGAGGGUAUUGUUAGGCCACGUCGAUCUAAGAUGAGCCUUAAGCCAAAUCCCAAAUAUUUGGGAUGAGCAGAGGACGUGCAGGACCAUUGCAUGAGCAUUCAUACAUGCAAUAUGGGAAAGGGAUGGACUUGGUCAUGGAGGUUAAUGUGCAGAAGUGUAGCAGGAAAUGGUCUUCCAUCGUUACGAGUUUUACGUCAUUUUAUUUCCGUUAUGAUUGUUCUAUUUUUCGCUUUAUUAAUUCUCUGUUUUAUGUGGGUUGAGUCCAUUUGGUUACUGUUAAUUUUCCUUGUAAUUCGAUUUGUUUGUUUGUUUGGACGAGACUUGCUUAUUUAAAAGCCAAUGCUUUUGUUAAAAUAAUAGAAAAAUUUACAUUCAAUUUGUGAUACAUUUCUCACCCGAAAAGAAAACAAACUUUAUUAGUACUUUACUCUUUGCGUUUCAGACCUAUCAUCAAGGGUGCUGUGUGGUGGUUUCCAUGGUUGGGGAAGAUAGUUCUAUGAAAUCGUGGGCUUACAAUGGGUGUAUUUAUUGAAAUGGUUUGUUACAAUCCCAGAAUGUCUGCAUUCUCGUUUCCCCCUUGUGUUUGUUGGAUAUCUCCCCUGUGAUUUGAGUUGAAGGAAGGAGACAAUUCCAAGAAACAAGGACACAAUGAGUUGUCGUGGGAAUGACAAUUUGGGGAGAAGGGACAAUGGAUGAAGAUUGAAUCUCUGUUGUUGUGGGAAUGACAAUUUUUUGUUUCUGUGAUUAUCAAAGGUUGAGGAAAUUCCCCCAUGUGAUUUUAGUUGAAAGAGAAGGAAGAUUUCCCCCCUAGUGUUGCUGUUGUGUUUUUAGACUUUGAAUUCCUCGCCUUCAAUAGGGAGAAAGGCUGGAAUCUGGUUGGGUUUUGAUCUUGAUUGCUAACAAUUUGGGAUUGAUUUGCAAAGAAUAAAUCAAGGUUGAUUGUUGUAAUCUUGGGAUUGAAUUGGCUGAGAAAAUCUUCCCCUUUUGGCAGUGAGAAAUCUGCCUUCUCAAUGAGAAAAAUGACUGAAGUGAAUUAUGGUCUGUAGUUAAGAAAACUGUACAUCUGGGUUUAAUUGUUGGAAUUGAUUUCUGGCUUUAAUUGCUGGGUAAUCAACUGUAAUUUAGGGCUAAAUGUCUAGAUUCUUAGACUGAAAAAAUGAACAUUGUAGUAUGAAAAUUCAGUUAGACCCUGAAAUGUUUAUACCUUUUUAUUGUAGUCCCUAG